UGAGGGAGCCGACGAAGAAGAAGAGUCCUCAACAGCAACAAUGGUUGAGAAGUCGAACAAAGCCAGAAAAGAGGAGAUUGUCACCAGAGAGUACACCAUCAACCUCCACAAGCGUCUCCAUGGAUGGUACUUUAUCUUUCUCCAUUUCAGUAUAUGUUGGAUCUGUAGUGUAGAACGUUGAUUUCUGGAAUUUGAUAUGGUUGUGUAUGUGCUUGUUUGUUUUUUAACUUAAUCGAGUGGUUCUUUCGUGGUGUUUAUGAAGUGAAGCGUUGAUUUGCUAAAAUCGACGAUUUUCUUUGUUGAAAUCGACUUGGGAGCCGUGUGUCGGCGAUUCUUUUUAAUCCUGAAGUUUAUGGAAUCUUUGGCGGUUUGCUUAUUUACUAGAGGUUUAUCCGUUGAUUUUGCUGGCAAGGAAAAUUUGUUUCUGCAUGAGAAAAUCAUAUUUCAGUAUUUGGCGCGUUAUUUUGGUUUGGUUUGAUUUGAUUUGAUUUUAGUUUGGUUUUGGAAUGUAAUUGAAACGGAUAACAUGCAAUGGGGAUGAUUGGAAAAUGCUUUUCUUAACAGAUGUUACACAGGAGAAUGUUCCAAAUAUGAUGUAAAAAUGGAAAUUUUGGAAGAAUGGUGGUUGCUUAGAGUGAAUCUGUGAAAGUAAAGACUGAGUCCGACAUACUGUUAGGAAGUAUCUCAUAAGUCUAAAAAAAUUAUUUCUAAUUAUUGUCUUUUUGAUUCAAAAUAAAUAAUAAAUGGGUAGAGAGGAAAAUCUCAGAUACGGGGAUUUGUGGUUGUAUGCUUGCUGGUGAAGGGCAGUGGUAGAAUUCCCAAAAUUUUGCAAAGACUGUUAAGUUGGAAUGAGCUUUGAAUAAAAAUUUAAUUUUUUUUCUAGGAGGUUUUUAUAUUUUACCCUUGUUGUGGUGGUGGAAGGAAAUUGAGGAGUAUUCAUGAAGGGCAUGGUCAAAUGUGUCAGUAUAGUUGAAUGUUUUUGCAUAUGUAGGGGUAUAAAGCCAUCUCUAAAAUGGGGUCAUUGAUUGAAGUUGGAACCCUUUCUAGAACCAGUGGCAAUUUAGGAUUUCAUGAAAAUGUUUCACCAAUAUUUCUGUUGAAUUUCAGUUUUUUAAAGUUGUAUUAAAAUAUCACAAUGUUGUAAUUCAUAUGCUAGAGUACAUCUGAAGGAGUCCACGCUGCUGUAAUAUGCGAAUGACAUACACCUACCCAUUACCUGUUGUAUCAUCUGUUUCAAGGGACUUGAUUGCCUCUACUGAGCUUAUGCUUUUGUAAUUGUUCAUUUAUAUUUAAUUAAUUGUUCUUCAUUGUCGUUCUCUUGUUGUGAUCUUAGUGCUAUGAGACAUUCCCUAGCUUUUGGGAGUAGCAGGAUAAGAAUGGUAGUACUAUUAUUAGAGAUAAAUAUAUUCUAGACAUAGGUGCAUAUAAAUUUUAUUGGUGUCUUGUGCUGUUACUUUGAUUUGAUAUAUAUAUUUUUUACUGCUUGUUUUUUUAAAUCUAUACCAUCCUUUAGGAAAUACUUGAUUUCAUACCAUUUAUUGAGCAUAACAAUUAUAAGUCCAUGCAUGUAUGCAAAGAUCACCUAUGAUUGUUGUUCAUCCUGCAUCUCUCUCCAUUUAUGCAUCUAAUCUCAUCUAAUUCUUCUAAACCUCUAGGCCAUUUUCCCCACAAAGUUCAUGGUCCUCACUCCAUUACAAAAAUGAUCCUUUACCUCCCCACCAUUUUUUAUUUAUUUUUUUUGGCUUUUCUAUGGUAAUCAUAGAAUGCCUAAAAAAUUUGUUCAUACCAUCUGUUAUAGUAGGAGCAGAAAUGCGCUGAUUCAGCAACAUGAUUAGCUUCAAAUUUCAUGUCCCACUGAUUCAGCGACACGAAGCGUAACCUAAAAGAUAAGUAUAACAAUGCAUCUGCUUUCUCAUCUUCCAAAUCUCCUAAUGCUGCUACCUUCUUAUGUAACUGCUUCUGUAAUUGUUUGAGGAAAAAAUGCUUGUAAUUGAAUGUUAAAUGCCCAACAUUAUGAAUUCUGUAAGAGUUAUUUCUUGUGUUCCCUUUGUCAUUGGAGCUAUAGGAUCAGUGAAUUACCAUCUGUGUCGUUUUUGUGCACAAAUAGGAUUGGUGAAUUACCAUCUGCAUCAAUUAUGUGGAACACAUUUACACUAAUCUAAAACUUGGGCAGCUUACUUGAAGCUUUUAUGAAGGUUUCUUGUCUUAGCCCAAACUUGAGGUUCAUCCCAUAUAAACUGGUUGCAUGUGUUAAUUUGAGCAUUCUAAAUUUGUUGAGUUAGACUGACUAACAACCCUGUUGUAUUUUUUAUGUUCCCGCUGGAGGGUUCACAACAUGUUUUUUAUUUGAAGAUUUACAUAAUUCAUAACUGCAGUAUUCUUGUUGAUUUUUGGGACUUUAGCCUUUCAGCUAAUCUAAUCCAUUGUAGCCACCUAAAUACAAAUUCCUUGUGCUCCAAUUUCAAUGUGCAGCACAUUCAAGAAGAAGGCUCCAAAGGCCAUAAAGGAAAUCAGGAAGUUUGCCCAGAAGGCUAUGGGAACAACCGAUGUCAGAGUCGAUGUUAAGCUAAACAAGCACAUCUGGAGCCGUGGGAUCCGAAGUGUUCCAAGGAGAAUCCGUGUCCGCAUUGCAAGAAAAAGAAAUGACGAAGAAGAUGCCAAGGAGGAGCUUUUCUCGCUGGUCACCGUUGCAGAGGUCCCACCAGAGGGAUUGAAGGGCUUGGAAACUAAGAUCAUCGAUGAUGAGGAUUGAACCAACCAUGCCUCCCUGCCUUAAUUAGGUACUCCAGUUUUGGGUUUUAUGUUUUUCCGAUCUUAAUUCAGAAAAUGUUUUUGGUUGGUUUUGGAUUCUCUGUGGAAUUUCUCCCUAAUUAGAGUUGUUUAUCCCAUUUAUGCAUUCAGUUUGUGUUAGAAACAUGUGUGAACUGAAUUUUAUUUACAUCCCUUGCGGCUAUAGCUUUGAACAUGAUCCUCAUUCUGAUUGUUCAUCUGAUAUGAGAACAUGAUUUUGUUCUUUGAAUUUAUACAGCAGGUGGCCAGCUUGAUGGCUGGACUUGGCAAACAUAUGAUCAGGCCAUUAAAUUACCAUUUGAUGGUUUUAGGAGCUUCAAAUGCAUUUUCUAAUCGAGGUGGCCUUUUUUUUGUGUUUUAAAUCUAAAUAGACAUUAAUUUAACUUAAAAUCCAAACAGAACUUAACAGUAUUAAGUAUUAAGGUUUUAUUUGGUUAUAUUUUUUGUUGUCUGUUUCAAUUUCUAUAUAGAAAGUAGACUAUUUUAUACAAACAUUAUUGCCUUCAAAUUGUUUUUAAAUAUUUAAAAUUUGAGUUAGUAAUUUUUUUAGUAUUUUUUUUUCCUAAAUGCUCUUCUUCGUCCAGAUUUUCAAUAUUCUCGAAUUUUGUGGAAUAAUUUUUUUUUAAAACAAAUCGAAAUUAAAAUAGGAUCACAAAAGGGGUGAAUUUCACAAUCAACCCGAUGGUCAUUUUGAAAUACAAAUUUAAUUUUACAAUCCAAAUUUUGGGGAACCAUGAAGAGUUCAUAUAUAAAUUUUCCAUCUUUAAAAUAAUUAGUUGCUAAUUUUGAAGUUUUAAAUAUUAAAACAAUUUUUUUGCUUAUAAAAACAAAAAAUUGUUUUUAAAAAUUUAUAAUAUUGUUUUAUGGUUUUCUAAAAACAAUUUUUAUAAAAUAAGUAGAUAUUGUUUUAAUCGAUUUUUUAAAAUAAAAGGAAACAUAAAAAUAAAAAACAAACAACCCAUUAAAAAAUAAUUAAUUUGAACAUCAUAUCAUCCCAUUUAUUUUUUCACAAUUUGAUAUUAUAUCGAAAAUUUUCAAAUAUGAUAUUUCUUUUAAUUAUAAUUAUUUUUCUAAAUCUUAUUUUAUUUUUUAUUUUUUAAAAUAUAUUAAACACCUUUAUUUUUAUAAAAUAAUAGAAAAUUAUUUUUUGUUAUUUAACUUAAAUUUUUUUUACUAUUUUUAAUAACAAGUUUUACAAAAUAUAACCAAACAAAUCCUUAAUUUUAUUAAUUAAGUGAAGAUUUAAGAGCUCUAUUUGAUAAAUUUUUGAAAGAAAAGAGUUUUUUCAAAAUUUGUUUUUAAUUUGGCAACAAUUGAAAACAUAGAAGAUACUUUUUAAGUUUUUACAUUAAAAAAAAAAAUCAUAUUUUAUAUUUGAGUUUUCAAAUACAAUUUUAUUAAUAAUUAUUAUUUUAAGAAAUGUUGUUAAAAGUGAUGUUUAUUUUUUUUUAGAGUCGAGUCCCAAUUUUACUUAGAGGAAAAAAUUUGGAGAAUAUGUAACAUGAACACGCGUCAACAUAUGGUUGGCUGUUCGUAAGGGAAUUUUACUGCCCGCCAAACACUAUAAUUUUAAAAGAAAAAUGCACCACAGUCCCGCGUUGUACGAUUGAAGGAGGUGAAAUUACCGUAAAGCCAAGCUUCCACGCGAAGCUUUUCAGAGAAGCUUAUUAGCCAAGGGCCCAAGAGGCAGCGUUCUUUGGGCGUUUCUGUCAUUGAUCGCUCACAUUUUCUUCGUGCUCAUACCUUUCUCACAGCAAUCGCAGUGUUUCUGUUGCGAUCUCUGUGAGCUUUCAGUUUCUAGAAAUCUGUUUGGCUGUAGAGAAAAGGCGGGAAAGUUAAAGAAGCUGGAGUUGUUUUACUCGCUGGGUUUUUUUUGUUUGGAAGCGGAGAAAAUGCAAUCCUGAAGUCGACUGGACUCGAUACAACUAAUUGGCUUAGCUGAGGUGAGUUUUUUUUUUUCCUUAGUUUGGGGAAACCGAAACAACAUAAUUCCUGAGAUUUGGAAUGCUCUUUUCUCAGCAACCAAACGGAGUGUUGAUUUGCUUCUGUGAUUGCUUGGUUUCGAAGAAAGGUAAGUUAGUUAAAUGCUUACACGAAAUUGUGAUAUUAAUAUUUAGUUUCGAUUUGCUUUUAAUUGAAAGGCUCAUUUCCUCUGCAAUCCUGAAAUCGUGUAGCGCGUUGGAUAAUCAUUUAGGUAGAAUCAUGAAAGAAAGCGAUCUGAGUACGUAGGGAAAAUGGCAUUGCAGAUAACAUGAUUUGACCAUGUGAAUUUGGUUGCGAUUUUUUUCUUAGCAUCAGUGUUCUGUUGUUUCCUAUUUUGAAUUUGUAUUGUGCCAAAAAAAUUGGGGAUUUCAGUUAGUUUAACUAUUGUAAUGAUGUUAUUAUGAGUUUUUGGAGAGUUAAGAUUAGUUGUGAAAUUAGAGAAAUAAUGUAGGACUAUGUUCUUGAGCGGCAACCAUACUAGGCCUACGUAUUCUGAAACUAGUCUUGUGCUAUGAAGAUAUGAAUAGAAGUGGGGUCAGGCAUAAUUUUGAUGGUUAAGCGGACUAUUGAGUUGGCUUAAGAAAAAUGCUUUGAAAACAAAUAAUGUCUUAAAAACCUGUUAAAAUGAAAACAAACUGAACAUGAUAGUCAUUUUUGCUUUGAAUUGAAAGUUAAAAAUGAUGAUUUACAAGUAUGUAUUCGAGGUGGAUUGCUUGUAUACAUUUCUCUCUGAUUGGGCUUUUAUGUACUAUAGAACAUAUCUAUUUUUCUGAAGAAAAAACUUGAAAACUAUGAAAUUGGUAAUAAGUACUUGAAGGACUAUAGGAGAUAAAUCAUAUUGUUGAUGAACUUAAGGGACUAAAGAGGAUGAACUUAUCGAACAUUGCUUAUCAUUUCUGUUUUAGAUUUGUGAAAAUAAGGACUUCUGCAGACACUUUCUUGCUUGAGGUUCUAGUGGGGACUUCCAAAUUUUUGGGAUUGUUCUCCAAGUUCCUAACAGAACUUUUAUUAGUGGUAAUAAAUAUUUAUUACCACUUAGCCAUCCUAAGUAUUUGCACCAACUGCAUCUAUUUUCUUCAGAAUAAGAUUAAUAUAUUGGGUGCUACUGACCACUAUCUAAUCUCAUAUGGGUCACAUUCUUUGAUAUUUCUAGAGAUGGAGUGGAACAUUGAGAACUCCCCUGAUCGUGGCCUUCCCACUAAUAGCGGUGAUAUAAAGUAUCUCUCUGGGCUUAGCACUAUAUUGGUUGCCACCAUUCAAGAGGCAAAGGACAGGAUUUCACAAGUAGAAUAUAUUUUCUGCACCCAGCUCUUUCCAAAUAUCCAGUCGAAAUUUAAGAUUUAUUCUGAGGCAAUAAAGACAGUAGAAGAUGCAUGGAAAAAGAAAGAAAAUGAUCUCCUCCUCCAAAUAGAAAGCCUUAAGCUUGAAAAGCAGCAAGCCCUUGGAGAAAAUCAAUCUCUCAAGCUGGAGAAGGCAACAUUGUUGGAAGAGAAGGAAGAAAAAACAAAUCCACUUCUAACCAAACUACAAAGUUUAGAGAAGGAAGUUGGUGUUCUAAAACGGGAGCUCUUGCAGAAGUCUAAGGAAGUUGACGAGGGAAUGGAAUUGCAGAAUAAACUAAUUCAAUUGAUUGAGAAAAAAUCUUCUGCAAUAUUGACCAAGGGAAAGCAAUUGAAAGAGCAAGAAGAAAAGAAAAGUGAAGUUGUUGCCAAACUACAAAGUUUAGAAAAGAAAGUUGAUGAGCUACAACAGAAGCUUAAAGAAAAGACUGAAGAAAUAGUCAAGGGAAAGGAGUUGCAGGAAAAUUUAUUCAAAAAAAUUGAAUCUCAAGACUCAAAGAUGAUGAGUAAUCAAUUUCUGUUGAAUGAUCAUGAAAAGGAGAUGAAACUACUUAUUGAUCAAAUCAAACAUCUGAAGAAGAAUGCAGAUGAGCUCCAAACGGAGCUCCAGAAAAGAAAUGAAGAAGUGGUGGAGGGAAGAAAAUUGCAAGAACAUUUGCUCAAGCAGAUUGAUUUGAAUGGUCUGAAUAUGCUGAAGAAUGAACGACAGUUGGAGGAGCAUGAGAAAAAGGAAAAAAUGCUUCUAACCAAAAUUAAGGGUCUAGAAGAGAGGGUUAACGAGCUCCAGGUGGAGAUUAAUGGGAAGAGUAAUGAGGUGACUGAUGGAGGGGAGUGGCAUCAAAAUUUCCUCCAACAGAUUGAAUUGAAAUCUUCUGAGUUGCUGUCUGAGAAGAAGAAAAGAAGAGAUGUUGUUGCUGCUUAUAAAAAGCUGAAAUCUCAAUACAACUUUCUUUCCUCAAAGCUUGGUCUUACUACAGAAAAUGUGCUCACACCAGUCAAAAUAGAGGAGGAAAAUGAUUCUUUGAUGCAUCAUGUAAAUCCACUAAAUUCACCUGGUGAGAUUUUAUUGCCCUUUCCUUUUAUUCUUAUUAGGUGCUGAAUAAUUAGCUACAAUUGGACAUAUUAGUAUUCUAGAAAAUGAAGUUUGUUUGAUCUAAUUGGAUUAAGAUUUGAAAUUUGCUGCAAUUUUGUUAUAUUAUUGAUUAUAACUUUAUCAAACUCGGAGGGGUGAUGGCACACAUUCCAAACAGAUCUUGAUCUUCUCCCAUUUGACUGAAAAAAUUCCUUUAAAUUUGCAUAAUAUUACAUGGCAUGUUAUUGAACUUGUUAGAGAAGAAAACCAAAGAGCCUAUUAGGAAAAUAAAUCAUGUUCAACUUGGGAAUAUACUCGUAAACUUGCACAUAUUUGGACAUUUACCCAAGGUUGUUAUUUUAUGGGAUUGCAUAUAUGCAAUUAUCUCUAAUGCUAACCCAUCUUUUACUCCUUGUUUCAUAGGUCCUGAGAAUACUAUUCCAGAAACUUCUGCUGCAGCUUGUGAAGCAAAUAAACAAAAGAAUGUGGUCAGUUUCCCAGAAAACUUGGAUAGUGUCAAAAGAGUUGGUUUAAUUCAAAGCUCAAGUUGCCAGUCCCCUUCUAGUUCUGGUUCCGCUGGAGCAUCAAAAUGCACCACCAACUUGAAUUCUAGCUCACUGGCUGGCACAAAGAGACCUUCGUCUUCUUGGAGAGAUACCAGGUCCCGUCAAUGCCAAGGUGGGGCUGACCCACAUGAUGAUUUUCUUGAUACUCCCUUGGAGAAUAUUAAAGGGAAUUUAAACAAGGCCAAGAAGGAAGAAUAUCAUGAUCUUCCAGUCGCCAUUCCAAAAGACAUGAAUUUUGAUAGCUCAGAUGAUGAAACGCAGGAUGUGAAUGUAGAACCCAGCCAACAAAAGCAGCCCAUGCCUGCACCCAAGCCUGGUACGAGAGUUUUUAAGUAUGUGGAACCAGUAAGAACCAAAGCAGAACGGGAAAAUUUGCAAGGAAUUGAAUGCAAACAAUGCAAGAAAUUCUAUGAUGCUGUUCUUCCCAAAGAUGGAAAUAAGGACACUGAUGGCAAUAAGCGGAAUUUUCGCUGUGAGCAUCAUGAGGGAGUUUCUAGGCAUCGGUAUAGGUAUGUCCCUCCAAUGACUCCAGAAGGAUUUUGGAAUAUUGGAUUUGAUUCUGAAAUGUGAAUUUUUGAGCUACAACAGAUUUAUUUGAGCUAUAGCAGAAUUUGAUAUUUAAUUCUAUUAUUUGCUGCUUUGUGGUCUUAACUCUUAAGUGAAAAUUAAGUAGGGAAAACUACUAAGAAAGCGAGAUACAGGUUACCUUCAUGAACAGAGAAUAAUUCUUAAAACCUUAAUGAAGUUGCAUCUUUCCCCCAAACUUUACCCACUGACAGUAACAUGUUCUAAGCUCAAAAUUUAACAUUUCAUGAUUCUACAUCUAUUCAAUAUUCAAGAACACAUAAUGCUAGAUUUCCAAACUAUUCUUGUAGAAAGCACAAUAUUAAAAUGCGAUCUAUAGAUUAUAUUGUUGGCUUACACAUUCAGUUUGGUUUAACUAUUAUGCAUUUAUUAGACUUGGUAGCAGGUAGAACUGGCAAAAAUAUCUAUCUAUUGUGUCUAAUUUCCACCCUAAACAUAUUUUGCCGGUUCUACCUGCUACCAAUAGUUGAAGCCAUUUUUCAUGUGUAUCUAAAUACUCGAAAUAUCUAUCUGUUGUGUCUGAUUUCCACCCUAAACAUAUUUUGUCAGUUCUACCUGCUACCAAUAGUUGAAGCCAUUUUUCAUGUGUAUCUAAAUAUCUAUCUUUUGUGUCUAAUUUCCACCCUAAACAUAUUUUGCCAGUUCUACCUGCUACCAAUAGUUGAAGCCAUUUUUCAUGUGUAUGGACUUCCAAAUGGAAUAUCACAAUUCUCCCAUUAAUUGCCAAUAGGCUUAUACAAGAAAAUGAGAAGCGAGUUUUACAAUAGGUUGGGUUGGUUGGGAAGCUGUUGUUGUAUGAUUCCUGGUCGUCUUUUAUUUUUUUGUACUUCUUGUCUGUUAGGACUUAGGAGCGAUUCUUGCAAUCCACCGACACUCAAAAUUCAAACACCAUACUGUUAGAAGUGACUUGUGAGUUAAUUGAAUUUGAGGCUAGACAAAUACUUCAAAAACUUCAAAUUCAAUGUAUGGAUCAUGAAAGAUCCUUAAACACAAAUUUUGUUCUCAGAAUUAAGAAAAUCUUAAAUAUAUUUUCUUUAUAGUUUAGCUGAAAAAUUAGACAAAUAAAGAAAUGAUGAUUGAAAUUUGGGAGGAUGAGAAUGUACAUAUUCAUAAUUUAUGGAUGUUAGCCUAGUAUAUACUACAAGUCCAUUACCUAACCGUUUAAGUUUUUAGGUUAAUUGGUAACCUAGUAUAGAAUAAGAGUUUGAUCAACUAGAGGUGGAUUGGGUUUUGAGUUGGAGACUCUCCUACUGUUUGGUCUCCCAUCUUUUUAUUCAUAAUAACUGAGGGUGUUUACUUGGUAUAUAUUAUAAUUUCAUUAUCUAAUAUUAUGUCGAUUGUUAAUUUAGGCUUCACACUUAACAAAGAGACGUGUCCCUUCACACAAUUUAAUAGAGGAUUGCUAAUGGACUAUACUCUCAGUCUUUACUGCUUCCCAGUCUUAGGUUCCAGGAACCUAAACCUAGGUGGGCCUGGGCUUUGUUCUGGUGGGCCCUUUGGUAGUAAAACCAUAUCUCCUUUAGGUAGUAUGGGACCAGCCCAUGACUUUAAAUAUGUGGGUCCAAGUGUAUUGAAAGAGUUACUUAGAACAUGGAGUGCUGUGCUGAUCUGCCAGACUUUGAUGUUUCCUUUCUCCUACAGUCUAUACAGUUGUACCCAGCACAAAGGCAUAAAUGCUAGGGAUAGGAUGUAAUGACUACACUUUAAAACUCUGGUGUUCAAGCUGCAUUUAUCAACACACACCCCCAUGACCCUUGCUUUAUUUGGCAUGCCAACUGCUUUGUCAUGUGCUUCUUCCCCCUUACCUCAAAACAGAAGAACAUGAAUUGGCUUUUGAACUGCCUCUCCAUUUUCUGCUUAGAUACAAGUGAUAUUAUAUGUAAAUGUAUGUAAAAUGCCAUGGUGCUUAAGUCUAUGUAGGAUUAAGAAUCUAUCUGAAGAAGCAAAUUGAAGAAGACGGAUGUUUGGAAUUAUAAAAUUAUAGUGUUUAGGAAGAAGCAACCCAACUCAUUUCUAAUCAUUGUCAAAGCGACCCAUAAUUUGCAGACAUGUAAGAUGAAGAAUGUUCCUUGUGGAAUAGAGGAUUUAGAGCCUUUAGGUCAGUCGUAAGCUAAAUUUUUAUGUUAGUUGUAAACUACAUUUUCAUGGGUGAAGGAUUGAUGAUACAAGUGUAUCAUUAGAGACCUCAAUAGAAUUAUAAAAAUAUGAAAAAUUUAGGGUUCUUAAUCAGUAUUUAUUGAAUAUGUAAUCUGGAUUGUUGAAAACAUACGAUAAAAUUUAGGUUAUUAAACGAAGAUAUAGAUAAAUAAGAUUAAAAUAUAAAGUAAUAAGACGUAUAGUAUAUGUGACACAAUUUGAUUGAUCCCUUUUUUUUUUUGUGAUGUACUGAAUUAGUAUAAAACUUGAAAAUAUUAGUAAAUAGUCAUUUUGACAAUGCAUGAAUCAAGUAGAAAUAUUAUAUUUAUACUUAAUGGGUUAAUAUUGAAGAUGAAAGAUUCGUUUUUCAAUCGAAUUUGUAGGUAAUCCGGUUCAUAGUCCUCUUUCAUAAAAUAAAAAAAAAAAAAAUCCUAAAGAUGAAAGAAUCCUAAAAUCAUGGAUGUUUGUUAAAAUAAAAUGGUCAAUGUUCCCAUUACCAUUAAGAUCUUAUUGGAGAAUAUUAGGAAUUUAGUUUAAGACUUAGGUAAGGUUUUUUUUAAAAAAAAAAAAAAAAUUGGUGUUUAACUAGGUCAGUCAUUUGAAUAGAAAUGGUUGAAAAUGUGUUGUUCAGACUUCUGAAUUUAAAUAAAAGUAAAAGAAUUUUAAUUUUUUGUAUUGAAAAUAAGACUAGACUUUUUAAAAAUAAUCAAUUCUAAAGUUCUUGAAAUAAAAAAUAAAACAAGGCCUUAAUAUUGUUAUAUUAAUAGGAAAAUAAAUCAUGUAGUUGAAAAGGAAUGGUCUGUUUGACAUAUUUUAGAAAAUAAUUUCAAUUAUUCCUGGUAUGUAAACUUCAUUUGAAAAUUAAAAUAUUAAAAAUAAUUUUUGGAUUUAUUUUCCAUGAAAAAUACUAUAUAUUUAUUUAUAAUAUAAAAAUUCUCAAAACAUUGUAUAAAAAAUACUUAAAUACAUAUCAAAUCCAUUCUAAAAAAUGUUUGCUUUCAGACUAAAUUUUGAACAAACAAAAUUUAUCAAAUGUGGUCUUAAACUUAGAAAAUUAUUUCUGUUCCUCUGGAAGUGGUUUCCACAUAAGCCCAAAAUCUUCCAUGGAAAAAGCUAAACUUCAAGGAAGCUUAUAAAAAUCAUUUUAUAGUCUUCUUCUUUCUAUUUAAAAAAUAAAAAUUGAAGAUCUUUAGAGAUCCCUCUUCCAGAAAGAGUGUUCUUAUGAAGACAUUCUCCUCCUUUUGCUCCAAGUGUUUGGCUGUUUGUUUCUGUUUUUUUUUUUUCCUUUUUUUUCUUUCAAUUAUUCAGUAAGCAUUUAGCUUAAUCCACAUGUUCUGCAUUUUUUUUUGAUUAAUUUGUACAGAUUCAGCCAAAAAUAUGUCAUUUGCACAUUGUACAGAUCUCACUUCUGCAUAUUCAGUCAAGAAGACAUUAAAAUAAACUGGUACCUACCAAUUAAAGUUGAUAAAAAAAUAAAUAAAUAAUAGAGAACAUAAACAAUUUGAAUACCAUGUGCCUUUGAGUCAUGCAAUCUAAUAUUUUUAUGAUCAAAAGAAGAAUUUUUAUUUUUUUAUUUUUGUAUGAAUGUAUUUUAAUACAUGCUUCAGCAGUAUGGCAAAUGGAUAAAUACCCAAAUUAAAAAUAAAUAAAUAAAUCAUUUAAAAAAAAAAAAAACCACAUAACUUUUUUGGCUUUGGUGGUAUCGUUGGUUAUGAUGAUAUAACACUGCUGAGCCAUCUAAGUCAUAGUCUUACUGUGUCAAUUCUAGAGAUAUUAUGCUUUGGGGACCUUUUCUUUUACGAAGAAAAAAAAUUACUUGUUAACAAUUUAGGACAAAAGUGUGAUUAAAAUGUGACUAUAAGAUAGGAAUUCGGGUAAGAAAUUUAAAAGUAAUGCUUCCAAAACCAAGAAAAGUGAUUCCAAAAAACAUAAAAAACGAGUCAUGAUUCCACCCCUGAAAUUUAUGGAACACUCACCAUUGCCUUUUAUAACCACUUCAACAAUUUCCCAUAACCUUUUACACGAUAAAGUGGGUGAUUUUUCUCUCCCACUGCUGUAUCUUAUAGACCCUCUUUGCUUCACGUGAAUCUUUGUCCUUUUCAGCUUUUCUUUUCUUAAUCUUAAAUUAUGAAAACACUUUCUUGAAAUAAAAUCAGAUUAAAAACAAAAACACACCCGCACAUAGAGCGCAUUUUCUUUUUCUUGCUUUUACAAGUUUCAACUUGACCCGAUAUUUCGGAGCCGAAACGUCAAGUGUUCCGAAAUUUCGUAAUGGGUCGGUUACCAGAGACAGUCGUUGAAGCUAAACGACGACGCUUCGAGGUGGUCGAACGGCCACCCAGUUGGGAUCGAUCCACAGAGGUGGUUGUGGCUCAGAUCCAGGUGGCCGAUAUACGCAGCCGAUGACAAAGAUUUCGGUAUCUGACCCUUGAGGUUGUUGUACGAUAAAUCCAGUCCUAUGAAGUACGUUUUCGACCCGAAAACGUCUGGUAAUUUGCCUUCGAGCGAGUUUCGGCUGAGGUUGAGGAUGUUGAGUCCGGUGUUGCUCAGUAGAGAUGCCGGGAUGGAACCGGAGAGUCUGUUGCUGUCGAGGUUGAGAGUGGAGAGAACCGGCAUUGAACCGAGUUCAGCCGGGAUCACACCGGAGAUUUGGUUUACGGAGAGGUCAAAAUCGGCGAGCCGGUAAAGGCCUGAGAUGGAGCUCGGAAUGGUGCCGGUGAGCUGGUUCCGGCCGAGCAUGGCUCGGCUCAGCAUCGUGAGUUUUCCGAAAUCCUGCGGAAUUCCGCCGGUGAUCUGGUUGUUCCGGAGGUCCAGGUGCAUUAGUGACGCGAGGUUCACAACCGACGCCGGAAUGCUGCCGGAGAUCGAGUUAUCCGCCACGUUCAGAACCGUCAGUCGCUGCAACUUCCCGAUGUCCGCCGGGAUCACACCGGUGAUCUUGUUCCCGACGAGGUCGAGGAUCCGAAGCUUGCUGAGCGACGAAAUGCACGGUGGAAUCUCGCCAGAGAUGCCCUUCCAGUCCGCGAUUAUCAGCGUGGUGAGGCUGUCCAGCUUGCAAAUGGAAGGCGAGAUCGCGCCAGUCAUGUAGCCAGACCGGCCGGCGCGCUCAAAGAUCGGAUCCUCCGACUCCCCCCGGAGGUUAAUGUCUGCGACACGACCGGCGGAGUCACAGCUGAUGCCGAACCAGCUGGAGCAGCAGUCGUUGCCGGACCAGCUCUUGAAGAUUCCCAAGUAGGGCUCGUUCAAUGCAGCUUUGAAGUCCAGCAGAGCCUGCCGGUCUGCCGGCGUACAAGAUUCGACGCCGGUAGCGCCAGCGACGAUAAGGGCCGUGAGGAACAAGAAGAGUUUCAUUCCUCUGUGUGCUUAGAGUGUGAUGCGGUGUUUGACUGUGACUGGACAGUGAGGGUGUUUAGUGGCGGGGAUGGGUAGUUGCAGUGUUACGUGGGUGGAGGGAGGAGGAUGAUGCACCAGGCAUGGGCUGAUGGGUUUGCCUAUAUACACAAUAUUUGGACGAAAAUGCCCCUGUCUUGGGUUACAAUUACGCUUUAUAGAAAGUAGGAAAUGAUAGGGGUUUAUAUAUAUAUAUAUAUAUAUAAUUUUUUAUUUUAUUUUAUUUUAUGUCAUCUUGAGUAUUAUAUGAUGCUUGGGCAAGUAACGGAUCUAAUUUUUGUAUACAAAGGUUAAAAAAAUAACAAUAAUAAGAGUUCAAUUCAAAUGAUUGUUAAUACAUGUUGAUGUUUUUAUCAAUGUCCAAACAUUUUUCUUUUGAUUUAAGAGAAAACUUGUCACAAUCAUGAAAUGUCCAUGUAAGGAAAAAUGAUUUGGACUCAUUUGAAUGGUAGGUGCAUGUUUUUUGAUUGAAUAAUUCAAUACAUUUUGGUGGAUUUACAAAUUGGUAAGGAAAAAGCAAAAACAAAAUGGUGCAAUCUUCCAAUAAUAAUUCAUUGUAAACCCAUUUUGGAUUUGUUUAUCGGACCUCAAAACUCAAUUUUAGAUUUUAUUUUAAAAUGAUUUUGAUUAAUAAUUUUUUUUACAAUGAUUUUAAAAAGCAUUUUUAAUAUUUUUAGUAUCUGAAAAUAAUUUUUUACAUAAAAUAUUUUAAGUGCUAAAAAUAUUAAAAACAUUUAGGAAUUUUAACUCAUUUUUAUUAGUAAUAAUUUUAAGAAAAACAUUUAAUAUUUGAAUAUAAAUAGAAAAUAUUUUGAUAGAACUAUUAUUAAUAUAUUACAUAAUAAAAAAAAUUUAAAAAUCAUAUAUCAAAUACCGAAUUUUUGUUAAAAAAAAGACGCUUUUAACCUUUUUCAAAAUCACUAUCCAAUAUAUUCUUAAUCAUAUUUAAAUAAUCUUCUUAAAAGUAUUUUCAUAUUAAAACAAAGUUUAAUUCGAAAGAGUACAAUUACUUUUCUCCUUUUUUUUUUCUUUUUUUUUCUAUGUGAUUUUGUAAUUUCAAAAUCAAAGAUUUUAAUUUUGGCAUUUAAAACCUUUUAAGUUCAUUGAUUGAUGGAUAGGCAUAGUAGGAGAGAUUUCAUUCCUUGUGCUUUUGCUUACCACCUUCAUUGUUGUACCAUGUGCUCCACUUUAUCCAUUAUUCAAUACAAUCAUACCAUGAUCCUCCUCCAUCUCGUAUCAAAACUUCAAUGCCAAACAUCCGUUUUAAAUACUAAUUUAAAGUUCCCAAUCCAAGAUUUCUUCCUCCGUUUCUUUAAUACCCAUUUAUUACUAAGGCAAAAACCUCUUUUUUUUUUUUUUUUUUAUGAAAAUAAUAAUAAUAAUAAUAAUAAUAAUAAUAAUAAUAAUAACAUUUAAUGCAAAGAAAAAGGAAAAGGAAAAAGAGUGAUGAUGUUUUAAAUAAAACUAUCAUUUUAUUAGACUUCAGCUACCAAUUUUCUUGAAAGCUUGAUCUUGUGAAAUUUAGGUUUAACAUGUAUAUCAUGCUUCUUAACACCGGAGACAAAUAGAAUUUGGAUUCAUAUCAAACAAACGAAUAUAACAAAAUAGACAUUCUGUUAAACCAAACUCAAAUAUCAUGUUGAACAACUAAUUUUUCUAAAAAUUUAAACUUGUAAAAUUUGUAUUCAAUAUAUAUAUCAUACUCCAUAACAAAUGAGAUAAAAAAUAAAAAUUUUAAUUUUUUUUUUAUAAUUAUUAAAGGUCAGCAAACAGAAUUUUAAAUAGAACUUUCAUUUAUAUAUUUCAUAUGUGAAAAACUCUUUUUUAUUUUUUUAUUUUUCUCAAAAGUUAUUUGGGAAUAAAUUUUUAUUUAAGUAAAAGAUUUUUCUAAUAAAAGUAAAUUGAAAAUACAUAUUUAAAUAUGAAAUUCAAUCAUAUGUAUAAUAAUAGUUACUUAUAUUCAAAUCACUUAUGAUAAAUAAAUAUUUGGUGUUUAUCAAUUUAUUAAUAACCAUACUUCUCCUUAAAAAAAAAAAUAAUUAAUUCAAUUACCCAAAAGAUUAAAAAUGUCUUUAGAUUUUUACCCACUCAAUAAAAUCAUUUGAAAUUUAAGAGGAAAGGUGCUUUUAAUCAUAUAAAGAUUGUCUCAUUAUUAUGCACUCACAUUUGAAAUGAUGAAAUGAGGGGGGAAAAUGUAUAAUAAUAUAAUAAUGAGCCUUUUUGGAUCAAAGUUUGAGAUGGCUUUUUUGUUUGGAUGCCAUGCCCCAUUAUUAUUUUGCCUUUUCUGAUAUAGCUUUUACAGCUCACACCCUCUUCAUAUUCAUGGCUUAUCCACACAUUUUGGAUCUAUAUAUAAUAUGAAAAUUAAAUAAUAUAUUUUAUUGACAUUUUUUUUUGUGCAAAUUCUUAAAUGUUUCAUGAUUUAUAACCUUUUAGUAUAAGGCUAUCGUUUAACUUUUGUGGGUGUAAUUGAAUUUUAUGUUUUUAAAAAUUAUUUUUAAAAAUAUUUUUAUUAGGGUGUAAUAAUACCAUUCUUAAACCCAACGAUGGGUCACUCAUACGAUGACUCUUAAAACAAACUUGUAUAAUAUCAUGUCGAAUGUUAUAAAAGAUUUAGCCUUAAUAUUAAUUGGUUUUGAGAUGAGACAGUAAAAGGUUCAUCCAAUAAAAAUUAAGGUAAAAAAAAAAAAGUUUGAUCAUGUUUUCUAAAUUUUUUUAAAAAAAAUAUGUAUUUUUUUUUUCUUGAUUUAAAAACAAGUUUUAGAAAACAUGAGCAUUGGUCAUGUUUUCUUUUUGUUUUUAAAAAAUGGUGAAAACAACUUUCACUUAUUCUCUAUAAAUUGUUCUUCAUUUUAUUUUAUUUUGUUUUUAAAAAUUAUUUUUUGAGAACAAUGAUCAAAUAGUGAUAGAAUUUUUAAAAAAUAUUUUUCUAUUUUUAGAAAUAAAAAAAGUUUUUAAAUCACCCAGCUAAACAAGCUCCAAUAUUUUUAAAAACUUUAAUGUAAGUCAUUUGGGGGGAAAUAUGGAUUUUUAUUUAUUUUUUUAAGAUGAGAAUAGUGUAAAUUAGGAGAUUUGGAGCAUAUGAUUUAAAGUUUUAUUUAAUUAUUUUUAAAAGUUGGGUAAAGUGGUUUUUACUUGAUACAUAAAAAAAAUUCAAAAAUGUGUUACUUUUUAUUUUUUUCAGUAAUUUUCUUUUAUAAAAGCAUCGUACUUUAAAGUUUAAAGUUUAUUAAGAAUAGUUUUUAAUUUCAAGAUUUGAUAAGGUAAAAAGAUGUGUCAAAUGGGAUCUUAAUAAGAUCUUGAUGUUUGUUUGAAAAGAUAUGUUAAAGAUGAGAGAAUGAUAAUUUACUAUGCAUAAAAAAAUAAAAAAUAAAAAAUUUAAGAAUUAAGUUUUGUAAAAAAAAAAAGGAUUUUAAUUCGGAUGAAAAGCAUGUAAAAUUUUAAAUUAUUUUAUUAUAAAAGUUCUUCAAAAUCUUUUUUUAUUAUAAAUAAAAUAAAAUAAAAUAAAACACAAUUAAAAUUAAUAAGAAACCUGCCUAUUUUUAAAUUACUUUUAUCAAAAUAAAAUUAUGAUAAGAAUCUGUUGAGGUCUCGCGUUCCUGGUGAUCCACGUGGUUACCAAAUGGAUGAACGCACGAUCUCAACCAAUAUAAAUUCUUGAUUCAGUCGUUCCACCUGCAAAAGGCGUCCGGAUGGGGUGUCCGGACGCACCCUCUGAUGGUUUUUUCAGCCAUGGUUAGAGAGAGAUAAAUCAAUUGGCCUUUUACUAGGUAUAGUAAGCUCAUCUUCCCCUUUGUGUGAAGGUUUGUAUAUAUAGUAUCAGAAGCUUUGUUCCCCUCUUUAAUGGUGGGGAGAUAUUUUGUGUUGUCAUGAUGGACACUAGGUGGUGACAGGGCCAUCAUCACCAUAAGGGCGGCUGACAGAGAUCGUAGUAGGUGAUCAUGUGAAGUGAUCGUGGGAAGUGACUUGUUGUCCCUUCAUCUUGUCCUUUCACUCUGCAGAUGGCGAGAUGUGGGCCAUGAUAAGCUGUUGUGAUAACGUGCAAGACUUGCUUUCCUCAGUCAAUGAUCCGGACAAACAUACCUGGAUAGUGUAUGUCGGUUUUCCGGAUGCGCUGUGACAGUCGUCCGGAUGUUAUAUUUGUGAGUGUCGUGUGCCUUUCCUUGAACCGGAUAGGAAAGGCGCGCCACGUGUACUCUUGGGGAAAUCCGGAUGAGGGUGAUCCGGAUGAUAAUGCGUGCCACGUGUCAUAACGAGGUGUGUGGCACGUGUUAUCAUGAGGAGGGGUCCCUACAGAACCUAUUAUUCGUAAUAGAAAAUUUAAGAAGAAUAAAUUUUGAAUUUAGGUGGAAUAAAUUUCCUAUUAUAUGUAUCCGUUGUGCUUUACUUGAACAUGGGAAUAGUUGAAAUAUUUAUUUGAUUGAAAAAGUAUUAUUCAUAUAAUAUAUUAUUUCACUAAAAUACAAUGAAAUUUCAAAACGGAAAAUAAUUAAAAAAAAAACACUUUGCUAAACUAUCUAUAAAACAAUUGAAUCAAUAACACCUCUAGAUUGCACUUCUUUCCUGUGUUACGAGUGAAAGAGAAAAUGUAAAAAUUAUCAUUAAAAUAGUUCAACUAAAACUUAUUUUAUUCAUAUGAAUUACAUCAUUUAUAUAUGAAAGAAUUUUUUCAUUAUUCCUCGCUAAUAAUAGUGGAAUGGACAAUGCAGAGUCAAAAAAUGAUUCUAACACGAUGAACCAAUUUCAUAAAUCCACUUAUAACAAAACAAGUAUAAAAAUGAUAAAUAAGCACAAUAAAUAUGAAGUAAUGAAAAUAUUUUUUUAAUUUUAAUUAUAUUUUAAAAUUUUUCUUUCCCUCCUUUUUUUUCUCUCCUUAUUUUCUUUGAAACUUUUUAGGAACCAAACAUACACUAAAUGUAAUUUGUGACAAAAACUAUUACCCUAAUCGAUUUGAUAUCGGUUUUUUCCCUUUUUAGUGUGACACCCAAAAACUAUUUUUGGGUAACAUAGAAUAACACUAAUGGAAGAUAUGAAUUGGAUUAAGAACAUUUUUGUUCAUUAUCCACCUACCCAAGAACUAUUCUUGGGUAGAAAUAGAAUGACACUCUAAUGGAUAAUAUUAAAAUCCAUGAUAGUUGGAUUGCACAUGAAAGGAGAAGUGCAUUGAUUGAAUAUUUUGUAGAUAACAAUGCCCCAAUUAUUUAUUUAUUUUUUACUUAUAUUUUACAAAUAUUUGUGUAUGAGUAACCAUGUGCAACUACCACUUCUUAUUAAAUGCACACCAAAUCAGGACUGCAGUGUUAUUGAAGGCAGCGGUGAACAGAAGACACAAGCAAUUGUCUUCGUGGCUCCCGUCUUUUUCUAUAUUUUAAUUGUUCUAACCAUUUCAGAAAAUCAUGGACUUGUGUUGGCUUUUUUUGUGAGUAAAAUAUGAAAAUUAAAUAAAUAAAUAAAAUUGAAGUGGGUUUGCUUGUGGAGGGUUGAAAUUUGACUUUGUUUUUCUCUUUCUUUGUUUGGAUUUUUUUUUUUUUUUUUAAGGAUGGUUUUGUCCAUCUUCUAUUAUUCAAAUUAUUUAUAAGUUAGCAUAUAAUUUUAAAAAUUUAACAUCUGAAUUUGGAAAAUAAUUUUCAAUAUUCAAAUUAAUUCAUUAUUAAAUAAAUUAAAUAUUAAAAUUUGAAUUCAUUAGGGUAGUUUAGUUGAUUAAGACAAACACUUGAAAAUAUGGUUCCAAUAAGUAACGCAUAAUAUGAGUUUGAACCCUACCGAUGAUGAUACCUUGAAUUUACUCGGUGUUGGCCAUUAUGAAGCGGUUAGUACCCCUUAUAAAAAAAAAAAAAAAAUUGAAUUUAUUAGGUUCUGGAUGAUUGAAAUGAGUUUUAUUUUAUACGUUUUUUUAACAUAAAUUUACAUAAUUUUUAGAAAUUUAUUUAUUUUUAAAAAAAUUCAAAUUUCUUCAAAUUUGCUAAUUUAGAAAUGGGAGAACCCUUACAAACUUUUUAAUCAAGCAAACGAAUUUUGUAUUUCUCAAAUUAUUUUUUUAAUUAUUAAUUCCAAUUUUUGGAAUUUAUUAUAACAUGGAAUAACAUGCAAAAGAAGCACAUGCAACUGACUCAGUGUGGGGCCAUAAGGUCCAACACUGAUCCCCCACUAAAGGCUGUCAGUGGGCCACUUCAAAGCAGGCUUCAACAAGUGGGCUGGCCGGCCCAUAACACAAAACCACUUUUGGGUUGGCCCACAUUGCUUGAAACUAUAACUUUUGAGAUUGGCCUCCAUGUGGAGCCCGGUUUGGGCCCUAUACCAUGUUGGGCCCCACUUGUGGACCAUGGUCAGUGGGACGGAAGAUUAAUUGUCUCACGAAAAAUAAUCAAUUUUACCACAUGAUUACACGAUAAUUGGUAAUUAAAAUCCUAAAAAAGUAACUAUUAAUUUUAUUAAUAAUAAUAAUAAUAUUAAUUCAUUUAAAUUUUCCUUCUUAAUUAAGAAUAUUUACGUUGACUUGUUUUCUAAUUUUUUAUUGUAAAAAAUAAAUAUUAUAUAUAAUAAUUAUAAUGAAUUAAAUGCUUAAUCAAUUAAUUAUUUCAAAAUAUAUAUUAUUUUUAGUAUGAGAAAAAAAAAGGGGGGGGGGGGGGGGGGGGGGGGCCCCCGCCCGGGAAAAAAAGGGCCCCCAAAAAAAAGGGGGGGCCCCAUAAAUAAAAUUUUUAAAAACAAAAUUUUUAAAAAACCCCCCAACCCCCGGGUUGAAAAAACCCCCCCGGCCAAAACCCCAAAUUGGGCCCCCACCCCCCAAAAUAAAAAAACGGGGGUGUUUUUUUCCAUUUUACACAACAUUUCAAANNNNNNNNNNNNNNNNNNNNNNNNNNNNNNNNNNNNNNNNNNNNNNNNNNNNNNNNNNNNNNNNNNNNNNNNNNNNNNNNNNNNNNNNNNNNNNNNNNNNAGACUCCUGCAGGCCCGUUCAGGUCUUUUCCCAGUGUCGGGCUUUUGGCUUGAAGAUGUCAAGGAUGUGAAGAAAGCCAUGGAUGUGAAGAAAGCUGAGGAAGAGGCUGGAUCAGGGGGAAGUGAAGGAGGUGUGAGCUUGGACAAGUUUUUAGCACCGAAUGCUUCAUCUUAGUAUAAAUGCUUUCUCUCUUUUUGAUGUGUUUUGAUUGUGGGGUGGGGGGGGCGGGCGGGGGAGGAGGAGGUGUCGGAGAAGAAUGGUGGGGACAAUGAUAUGAGAUUUUGAAUGACAAAAUUUUGAAAAGACAUCAUAACCAAGGGUUGAGAAUGAGCCACGUGGCAAUAUCCAAAUAUGGUGGCCAACAUCGCAUGAUUAAGAACAUGGGUGUGUGUUGUACUGAUUACGACAUGAUUCAAAAGUGGUCACGUGGAUAAGUCAACAAUUCCCCUCAUCUAUGUGAUUAUAAUAUUUUCUAAGUUCACGUAUUAUUAUAAUAUUAGAUUUUUUUAUAAAAUAAAAAAAAUUAAAAAUAUUCUUAUAAAUAUUUUAAUUCAUAAGGGAAUAAAUAUUAUAAAAUAGAGAUAGUUCGUAAAUAUUAUAUAAGAAAAAUAGAGAAAUAAGAAAGAAUGAGAUGACUCGUGAUUUAGAGUAUGAAUAUAGGGAGUGUGUAAACAUUGAAUGUUUCGAAAAUUCAAUGAUUUUAUCUAAUUUCUUUUUUCAUAACAUUUAUAUGUUAUAGUGAAAUGAUUUUCUCUCAUCCAUGAAUGUAAACCUGGUUAAUCGGACCGCCCUUCCAUUGACACAACAAUUUUUCUAUCUUCUGAUUGAAACAAGAGAUGGGGAUAUAUGCCAUGUGCAAUGCAUAUGAAGUAAAGAUGACAUUUCAUAAACCAGUUAACUUGUAGCUUGGAAAUAUCCCAUUUAGGAUAAAAGCCAAGGUGUAGAAACCCUAAAAGAAAUAUCCCGUAUGGGAAAAAGGCCAAGAUGUUGAAACCUAGACAAAUACAAUGCAUCAUGGUCAUGUACAAGUGGAAAGUGUGAGUUGGACCACCAAAUGUCAUCCAAAAAAUAUGAUCAUAUGAUGAUCGAUCAUGUUAUCGUUUCUUUGUAUCUUGCUAAUGAUCUCAAUUUUUUUGUACUUGGGUUGUAUCUUGGGAAUCAUCUCAUUUUAUUUAUUUAUUUAUUUAUUUUAAAUCUUAUCAUAUUUUAUUUAACCAAUCAAACACAAUGUAAUGUCAAUUCUAUAGGUUGGCCCAAAAGUUUUAGGCCAAAGCCCAGCCCUACUCAUGCCACAGCCCAAUACCACCCGGCCCAACCACAUUAUGGCCAAGUGGGCCAGUUUUUUUUUUAAGUUUUAAGUCCUUUUGAAAAUUUGGCCCAGCCUACAUUCAAUGCAAUUUCCAUAUUUUAAGGGGGGGAAAAACUAAAAUAGGAUAAAAAGAGGUCUCCCAACCUUUGUGAAUGGGUAAUGUAUAAGAAAAUAAUUAGUUAUUUCAAGUUGCCGAUGGGAUGCAUUUCUUGUUUUUUUAAAAUAAAAAUUAAUAAUAACGCUUCUAUAAAAUACAAGUAAUUUUACGAUAUGUUUGAUAGUAAUUAUAGAAAACAUUUUUAAUCUAUAAAACGAAACUAACGUUAGGAACACACAAACACCCGGUGAUCAUAAGUCAUAACUAAUUAAAGAAUAACUAAAGAACAUAAGGAAGUUACCAAUUUUCAGUCUCCAACUAUAGCCUUGUUUAGGAGAGCUUCUUAAACGCUAAAAAUAACGGUUUUUAAGAGUAUUCCAAAAAGUAAGGAGAAAUAUGCUUUUUCUUUCAAACUUGGUAUUGAAAACUCAAUUGAAUCGAAAUAAUAAUUACUUCUACUUCUUCUAUCGGUAAACGGAGAAGUUAAACGCUAUCCCAAACAAGGCUUUAUGUAUCUUUGGCUUCAAAGACGGAUCAUCUCUAAUCAAGCAACAAAUAAAACCGGCUUUGCAAGCAGGUAUUUCAUGGAAAAUUAUAUGCAUGAGAAUAAUCUAUAACAACCGCCAUAAAAACUUGAGGCCUUCUCUUUCAAUUCAGAUUGCUAGGAAAUAAUGAAGUUCUGAUAUAAUUGAAUUCAUGCAAAAAUGUCUUCAGUAAGAAAUGAUUUGCUGCUAUCAGUAGGAGGAUCAGAUGGGAAUUGAAGUUGCUCAUAGUUUAGCUGUCUGGAUGCUUCAUAUAAAGCAAUGCCAACACUCACAGAGAGAUUCAAACAUCUAACAUAAGUUUCAACCAUUGGGAUUCGAAUUGUACCACCGCCAAGGGCUUCACUCUUGCAGUCAAGCAGAGCUUCAGGUGGUAGCCCACAAGUUUCCGAGCCGAAUAUGAGCCAAUCUCCUUUUCUAUAGGAGAAAUCCUGAAAGAAUAUAAAGCAACAUGUCUGAUUCCUAAAAAUGUUCAUAUAUAUAUGAAAUUUGAUGAUGUGUAUCUAGUGAACACACACAUGACAGAAAGAAAACCAAGAAAGAUGGCAAUAAAGAGAAACCCAUCAUCGUUCUUAGUGUUACACUACAUACUUUCAAUCAGGAAAAAUCCUUCAUAAUUUUUAUUUUUUUUUUUAUAUCUGUGGAUGUCCAGGCCAGCUUACGCGCACCUCGACUAAUCCCACAGGGCUCUGAAGUUAACGACCGGGUAAACCUCCAGUAGCCUUGAGGGGACUCGAACUGGUGACCAUUGGGGAGCAAACCCAAGACCGGACCAACUGAGCUACCCCUCAGGGUUGGAAAAAUCCUUCAUAAUUGAUGAGACAAAAGGGAGGGGCAACUUACAGAAUGAAUGUUUGUUCCUCUCUUGGUAAAUGCCAACAACCGCUUUUCUCCUUCCUGCACCAAAAGGAGAGAACAUAUAGAAUUUAAGGGAAAGCGCUAGGUGGGCUUUCAGAAUCCAUUAUUGAAGAUAAGGAAAAACCUGUUGUCUGAAAUAUUCCCGAAAUUCUGCCCACGAGUCAUGAACUUUAACAACCACAUAUCUAGUACAAAAGAGUUAAUUGUUGACAUAGUCACAACUUUUUUGUUGCAAGUUAGUUCAUAACAAUUUGAGUACAUGGCAGAUAUCAAAUUUAAUAAAACAACUGCAGAAACUAUAGUUGGAGAUCUAGAAGUUUGAAUGAGUCACUGACCCUCUGAAGAUUAAUUAUUAAGAAUCCUGCAUGUCAUGUCAAGCCUGACAGGCAAGCAUGUGAACCAGCAAUUGUAUCAUAAAUUACAAAAACAGAUAUUCAACUAAAAUCAACAAAAUGUUUACUCCCAAUUACUUGAGUUCGGCUCAACUACAUGAAUCCUUCUUUUUCAAUCUAUCUAAAUUUCUAAACCAUAUUUUCUAUUGAGCAGACAUGUCCAUAUAAAGAAUGCCACUCAAUUGCUAUGAACCUCAGGGCAUUAGGAAAUGAAACAUAGAAAAAAAAAAAGCUUACCACACCCUUUAAAUUCUAAUCACAGUUUAUGAAAAUAACCUAUUGUACAAAUAGAACAGAUUUGCUAGGAUACGGCCAAUAAUCCAACCCAGCACGCUUCAGUUUUGCAUCAUCCACCUGAAAUCCUAAUGGCUGGAGGGAUAUAAAACUUCAACAUUGUUAGAAGUAAACCUAAUGUAAGCAUCUUAAAAGACAAAAGAGAAGGACUAGAGGGGUGACAAUAGGCAACUUCUACCUCGAUUAGGUGAAGUCCAACAGCUGAUGCUGCACAUGUUCUGGCAAUGGUUCCUGUGUUCCCAGGAAUCUGCAAGGAACAAGAAAAUCUCAGAGCCAGCCUCAAGAAAUUGAAGCUGUUGGCAACCCAAAAGAAAAAGAAAAGUAUUGUCACUUGUGGAGUCGCAGAGUUUUAGAAUUUACCACAUGAUUGUUGUGUAAAAUUGGAAAAAAUAAUAAAUUAAAUUAAGAAGAAUUGUGAGAAAGAGGAAGUUACAAAAGUGGGAAAAACGCACAAACUUCAUUCUUUAAAAAUUUAAGUAAUAACCUAUUCGAUUGUUUACUUCCAAUGUACCAAACAGAAUUGACAAAGGCAUGGACACAAACCCCAACAAAUUGGGUACACUAAUCACCAAAAAUCCAACCAAGUGGCAUUUCUAGUUAAUAUUCUUGUUCUUUUUUACAGUGGUACCAUUCCUUUUAUCAAAUCAGUUGCUUGCAUUGUCCAGAGAAGACGUGUUUAACACUACAUCCAAUGGUUCAUGGAGAUUUGAUGCCUUUUGCCAUUAUGGACAGGAGACAAUCUAAAAGGAGACAAAUUAAGUUUAAGGACACAGGUUCCUAAUGUGAAAGAAAUGUGUCCAUGAGGUUGAAUGGGACUAGUUAUCAUCAAGACUCUGAAACUGCUAAGCUAUAUUGUUUAAGAAAUCCAUCAACCUGAUCUGAAAUAAGGAUAAGUCCAGCCUCUUUCCUGGAAAAUGGAACCCCAAAAAAUAUAAGAUAAACCAUUUUCCAUCACUUCAAAAAAGUCCAGCUCUCUCAUCACAAUAGCCUACAUGGUAUUGCUCCAGAAUGGGAGUUUUCCAGGGUUUGUUGCCAACACCAUUUCUAAAGCAAACUAUGUUACCUACUGUUUCCUUAAAAAUUUAUAAUCACUCAUUUUUUUCCCAUCAUUUCCCCGUUCUUAGAUACCAAUUUUCUGCUCCAUGAAGUGCUACACCAAAAGUCCUAAUCUUAUCCAUGUUCAUGUUUCAUAUUCAUCAAAAGAUUUGAAAUUUCGGACAGAUGCACACUGCACACUCAUGUAACACACAUAUAACACAUCAACAAAACACUAUAACCAUCCAUAACAAUUCUGCUAUAACGGGUCUCGAUUUCCAGAAAAAACGUAUAACCUUUUCCACCCAACACACCUGGUUUCAGAUAUAUAGAUGCGCAAAUUCUCAUAAACACCUAGUCACAUCUUCUACAAAAAUCAUAAUUUUGAAUACAUACAUAAACACGCUUAAGCAUAAAUAUAACAACACACUAACAACAUACCCUCAAACAAUUCUGCUAUGAAGGAUCUUAAUUUCUACUAUGUAUACGUAAGAGAUCAUCUGAAAAACAUAAUUCAGUACCAAAACCCCACUUCAAUCACCAAUAAUAUCACUUGCCACUCAGAAAACCCAAUUGAAACAAAACCAAUUACCAGAUUUUCGAUAUCAUUACCUGAGGAGAAACCAAAACCACCUGAAGAAGCCUGUUAUUGGAGAUUUCAGCAACUCUCUCACCAGCACCAUUAGGCAAUGAACUGUCACUGCCUCUUUUAGCUGCACCCACAAAAAAGAUACAGAAAUUAAGCUAAAAAAAUGGAAAAAUCCCUACUAUGAAGAAGGUUAUGCGGGUUCAAUUCUACGAAAGAGAAAGAAAGCAAAAGGGAGCAAAGAGGAAAAUAUGGAGUACAGAGAGAGCAAAUGGGAUAGAAGCGGUUUCUGUGGACUUGGUGGAGGAAAAAUGGGCGAAAGAGAGAGACCCUUGUACGGAAAUGAAAAGGGGCUAUGGCGUUUAGGGUUUUGAGACUGGUGGAAUCCAUUCCAGGCGUCUGUCUCCGCCGCUGCCGGUGGGUGUGGAGCAGCGGAGGUGGCUGUGGGUUUUGGAUUUGAGGUUUCUGUUUUAUCCUAAUGUUUGAAUUAGAAAUGACUCCUUAUCGUAGACUCUCUCUCUUUCUCCCUCCUUUUUUCCACCUUUUUUAUUUUUCCCCUUUUUUUUGUCUUUUUUUUUUUUUAAAUAAAUUAAUAUGUUAUGUGCAUUUUUUAAAAUUUUUUGUAGAAUUGGUAAUUAAUUUUUAUAAUUAGCCUGGAGUAAUACGUGUCCACAAUCUUUAAUUGAUUUGUUAAGGACAUUCAAUCAACCAAAUUAAUUAAAAUCAGAGGUGACAAUUUGUGUUGGUGGGUCGUGUUCGUAUCAUGUCAAAACUUAUGUAUUCUACAACAUGACUCAACCCAAACCCGAUAACAAAUUUAUGACUCGAUUGACUUAUUUAUUAAAAAAUAAAUGUAAAAUGAAGCAAGUUUAAGAUAAAUAAUUGAAAGAAGUAAUUAAGUUAAUAGUGGGAUUACUAGAUGGAUUAAUUUGGGGUUAAAUUCAUAUUAUACAAAUUGAUCCAAAAGUUAUUUAUUAAACAAGUUUAUGCAGAUUGAAAAAUAUUUGACUCAAACUCAUUUAUAUUCAACAAAAACAUGUGAAAAAACAUAUUAAGAUCACGUUGUGUCCAUGAAUCAUGUCAAACUGUGUCAUCUUAUAUGAAAUAUAAAACUUUGGUCAUUAUAUUUUUAAUUAGAAGUUUAAGUUAUGGUAAAAUUAUGAUUUUUUAGGGAUAAAAAAGUUAUCACCGGGAUGAGUAAUAUUAGUGUUAUUUAUACUCAAAUAAUCAAUAUUCUUAUAAAUGUAAGCAUUUUUUAAAAAAUAAAUUAUGGCAAAAACGUAAUAAUAUAACUUUUACGUUAUAACAAUCAUCUAUUAUUAUGUGAGAAAAUGAUUAUAGAAAGUGUUUAUAGUUUUUUAAUAUCUUAAAGACAACAUUUUUUAAGUGUUAUAAAAAUUAAAAACACUUCCUAAAAUCACUUUUAAAUUUAUUAACAAAUACAUCGUCUUUCUGUUGCAAAAUAAUACAAGUGAUUUUUUUAAUACUAUAAAUGAUUUAAAAUUUUUUUUAAAGUAUUUCAUAAAUUUUGUCAAAUACUUAUUAUUAACUUUUUAACGUAAAAAAAAUGUUUUCUAAACUCGUUGUCAAAUGAACUCUAAGUAAUUUUAAAUUUUUUUAAAAGUGUUUUAUAAAUUUUACUAAACACUUCCGUUUGAUAAUAAGUCUAAAAGACACGUUUAACCUUUUUGAUACUUGAAAAUUUUUAUAUUUCAAGUAUUAAAAUAGUUAAAAAAACUUUAUAAAAUCACUAUAAAAAAGUAAAAAAAAUAAAAACACAUUUGAUAGUGAUCCUAUAAAAUGUUUAUAAUUUUUAUAAUACUUGAAAAUAAAAAUUUUCAAGAGUUAUAAAUGCUAUAAACAUUUUUUAAAAUCACAAUUAAACGCAUUUGAGUGUGUUUGACAAUGAUUUUAGCAAACCUUUAUAAUAUUUAUAAUACUUGAAUGAUAAAAAAAAUUAAAGUGCUUGAGAAAUAUUGGAAAUGCUUCCUAAAAAUACUAUGAAACACACUCAAUAUUUGUUCAAAAACAUUUUUUUUUAAUUAAUAAUGUGUUUGACAGUAAUUUUAUGAAACGUCUUUAAUAUUUUUAAUACUUAAAUGAUAAAAAUUUUAAAGUGUUAAAAAUAUUAAAAACACUUUCUAUAAUCACUAUCGAACAUACUCUUAUAAAUAUUUAUUAAAAUUAUUAUCAAAUGAACUUUUAAAAUCAAAGCAUAAUUAAUAAAAUUAGCUAUAAACCUACAAUAACAUUACAACUAUUAACCUUAAAAAACUUUGCUUUAUUGAUGAUGCCAUUAAAAUUUGCAUAAUAAAACCCAAAACAUUUUAGGAAUCACUUUGUCUUGAGAUCUUAUUUUUCAUCCAAAGCAAAAUGACAUGUCUAAGAAUAUGUUUAAUAGUAAUUUUAGAAAACUUUUUUAACUUUAAGCAUUUGAUAAAAUUUGGGAAACGCUUUUAAAAAUAAAAAAAAUCACUUGUAGUAUUAAAAAAUCAUUUAUAGUGUUUUAUGAAAAAUAUUUGAUAGACGAUUCUCUUAAAAAUAUUCGUAGAGAAAACACUUUUACUAAAAACACGGUCAAACACGUUUUAAUGUUUUAUUAUUAUUCCAUGAAGGGGUAAAAUGUUAUUUAAAAAAGAAGAGGGGCCUUUUAAAAUAUUAUAAAUUACUGGUCCAAUUUGACUAUUUUCAUAAAGUUUAGUGGCAAAACUGAAAAUUCAUCUACGUAUAAAAUGCCCCACCCAAUACACCUAAUUCGCCCUUCGCUCCAGCGCGAUUCGCGAUCUCUGGUUUAGGGUUUCGUCAAUUUCUCCGACCAGAAGGUGGAGAUUUAAGAUCAGGUAACUCUUUUGAUACGUGUUUCGCUUCAUCGUUUCUUUGUUUGGUUGCCAAGAAACCACUGGAAAAUAAUUGAAAACCCCGGAAUCUCAUAGCAGCCGGUGUGAAAUUCCGUCCUUUUUUCUCCUGUUAUUUUACUAAGGUUUCUCGGGAACCGAACCGGAUUAGGGCUCGUGGAUGCGGGUAAGUUGGUGUGAAUUGGUGGUUUUAUAUGUUGGGCUCUGGAUAUUUCUAGGUAAUUGAUUUCCAUUUUGGGGUUUGUUCAUGGAGUUAGGUAUGCGGUUAUUAUUAUUAUUGUUAUUUAUUUUUUGGGGUUUCAAUUCAACUGGUUUCAUCUCUUGGCCUUGGCAGAUUUUGUACUUGGUUAUUGUGUGAAAAUUUUUGAAGAAUUAAACUUCCUUGAAACCAAUAUGCCCCUUUAUUUUGGUUUUCAAGAUAAUAGACAAUUUAUUUAUGUAUGCCCACUGCAGCCGGGACAAGGUUUUAUGGUUACUUGUUAUUGAAUUUUAUUAUUUGGAUAGCCAGUUGGUUGUUGUUGAUACAAACUGGUAGUUUGAAGAAAUCAACUUUUAGAUGAUUGAAUUAAGUUUAGGGUUUCGUUGAGUUUUUUCCUUUUGAAUUUUUUAGGUUUUAAUCCAAUUACCUUUGACACUGAAUCUGGAUGGGGCUGAUUUUAUCUAGUUGUGGUAUGAGAAUUUUCCCAGAAUUGGAUUUUCUAGAUAUCAAUAUAUUCAUUUCUUUUGGGUUUUGCGAAAUAGAAACUAUCAGCUCAGUUGAGCCCACUGCACUGUCAUGUUUCUUUUAAGAACGAAAAAGAAAAAAAAGAAUAUGUGGGAUUUCAUUUUCAUUUUUCUUUCUUCUAUUUUUCCAUAGUUCUCUUGGAAGACAAUCUAGAGGUGUAGGAUUGAGAUGGCUAGAAAUCUACUUUUGUGUAAAGGAUUUGGAUUUUUUUCCCUGAGUACAUUAAAUCUUGCCUAGUGGAAAUGCAUGUGUAUUUUUCCUAAGAUGAAUUUUAAAUAUUCUGCAAUGAUUUGCGGGGUUUAGAAUUGAGAGUACUGCUCAAAGGAACAUAUACUGGACCCCAACACAUGUUUAAGAAUAACAUGUCCUUCCUAUAAUGAUUUUUCUAGAACUGCAUGAAACAACAUGGGAAAGAAAUUUAUGGUCCUGAUCCUUCGGGGACGUUUCAUGCAGAAAUUGUGAUAGGGUAAGGAACAAGCAUUAGAUUUUUUCCCACAUGUUGAUUUUUGAGUGGAAGAAAUCAUAGUGGGCCAGGACCAUGAAAUAUUUUUGCCCAGAAUAAUAAUUAUUGCUUGUGCUGUUCUCCUCGGUCAUGGACUGAAUUGUCCCGAAGGUGAACAGUGCACAAAGUUUCCUUGAGUUGCAUGACUUAAUUUACUAAAUUAAAAUCAUGCAGCAUUAUUGGGAACAUUAGGUUGAAAAUAUCAACUGCCCAAGUCAAUUGAUACACAUGAAAAAUGUGGCUCCACACUGUUCUUUCAUUAUUGAUACAAAGUUGAAGAAGAUUAAUGUGGCCACUUCCAGCUCAGUAUUUAAAUGCUUUGCUUGUUGAGGCAAAUAUGUCACUUAGUCAAAUACCUGGUUCCAUAACCAGUGUUUUCUUUCUGAAUGGUUCGAGAUUUAAUAUAACUUUUUGAUUCCAAUAAGUUAUGAGGCACAGUUAUGCUACAUGGGUGUAGUUUUUGGAAUUGGUUUGUUGUGUCAGGGGAGCUGACUGUUGUUUUACUCUCCCCCUUUCAAUUGUUUUCCUUGUGCUGUUUUUUUCUUGGUUCAUGUAACUAAUUGGUCAAUAGUGGUUUUCCUCUCAUAGGAGGCAUCAAAGCAUUAGAAUAUUUGUACUGGCAGUUAUGUUCAGCCUGUACGUACAGUAGUUUUGUUCUGAAAAUAUUGUAGGAGAUGCAAUUAUUUUAUUUUGAAGAAAUGUCUGUUCAGUAAAUGGUAUAACUUGCGCCUUUCUUGGAUGAAUUAAAGUCUCCCCAAUGUUUGUUUUCUUGCUUUUUCCAAUUUAAACUUUUUUGAUGAGUUUUAUAGCUGUUAUUUUCAUUGACAUAUGCUUCGUUGUAUUAAAUUAAUAAUGUCUAUAUAUUUACUCUUCUAAUGCUCGCAAAUUAACAUAAAAAUUUUCUAGAACUAGAUUAAUGAGACCACCAUUUUUUCCUGCUCAUUAGCUGUUAAAAUUAACAUAUAUUAACUUUCAAUUAAAAUUGUGUUACUUUAAUGCAUGCUAGUUUAUCCUCUUUUCUGAUUUUGAGAAUUAAGGAAUGCUAAUUAAUCAAAGUCACAGAGAUCAAACGUAUAGUUCCAUUUCAAUGUCUAAAUAGCUUGUAAGAUUGCUUGUCAGACAGUGGAUUUCCGUAAGCAGCCUAAACGCGCUUGGGUUUACAAUGGAGAAAGGAGCGGCUCCUAGCCUAUUCGUUAAUGAUGGUUCAUUUAUGGAGAGAUUCAAACAGCUUCAGCAAGAGAACGAGAAGGAGAAGGGGAAGGGUGCCAAAUUGGAGGAGCCUAAACAGCGCAUGGUUGUGCCAGCAACCUCAACUCCUAAUUCAAUCCCUAGUAAAACCAACAAUGUAUCUAAGACUAAUGGCACCCGCAAAACUCCCCUGGCUGCACCAAAUGGCAAGCUUGCCUUCAGCUUGAAACAAAAGUCAAAGCUUGUGCCACCUCCUGUUAAGUUAGGUGCAGAUGAGGAUGAAGAAGAAACCGAUGCUGGAAAUUUGUCCAGUGAUGCACCAAUGAAACGACAGAAGUUGGGUCAAAAAGAUUCCUCUGAGCAUCCAUCACCACAAGUAGAUGUUGGUAAUUACUGCCUAUAUGAAUAUCCUUUAUCUGGUUGGGUUGGAACAGAAGGGUUGUGCAGGUCUUUUGGUUCUCUCUUUGAGCCACAAAACUGGAAGAGAGAUUCCCAAUUUAAACAUCCAUGUUCAUUGUAUCAAUAGCACUUUUCUACUGCUGUUGGAGUAUAUAUAGUUUCCCUACACACCUCAUCUCAUGCACAUAUGAUACAAAUACGAAUAAAUCUAUAGGUACAUGCUGCAAUAGUUAAAUUUUUUUUUUUUCAGCCUUGUAUCUUUUACAGUUAGGCUCACACCUAGUAGCAUCACAUGAUCAUGUUUUCCAUGCAAAUUACUUUACCUUGCAUGGUUGGAUUGGCUUUGUACUAGGGUUCUUUUAAAACCGAUAAAGUCAGAUUCAAGAUCUUUGCCAUAUAUUCUUUUACUUACUUUUUCCUUGACUGAUGUUCUUGUCAAUUGUUUUUACAUCUUUUAGUUUAAGUUAAUGUAAGAUUUUAUUGGACUGAAGACUAUUACCCUUAAUAUCUGGUUGUUGCUUGGUCAUUGUUACAUCUCAACUACCAUGCUUGCAUUUAUUCACUUUAAAAUUGCCCUCUUUCUUCAAGAGGAGAAGGCUGUUCCAUUGCCUAUAUUGUAGGCCUCAUUGGACAUAAGUUGUCCUAUUUAUCUCAUGGAUUGUUAUUGAACAUGUAUUUUUUUACUUUAGUUACAAAUAAUUGGUUGGCUCAGACACAAAAUACCUUAGGAGCUGCCCUGGCAGUUAUAGAGUGUUAACCCUGGGUUAUAGUAGUUCUAAUAGUCUGAGGCAAUUCCUUGUUAAAACGGUCUCUCUUCUCCUUUAUAAAACAGUUUCUCCUGUCAUGGAAACAAAAGUUUGUUCUCUUCAUUAAGGACACUGUUAUUCAGGAACUCCUCUAGGUCUAUAUCUUCUCUACUCUUGAACUGGUGGAUAAAGAGAACAAAACAUUCUUGAAUUUUCCAUCUCAUGAAUGCAGCUUAUUCCUUAAGUCCCUAUCAACAUUGGUGGGAAGAGAUGUUCAAUGAAAGAUUUGGAAAAUGUGGCACGCCUGCUACAAGAGUUAUUUGCAUUCCCUUGUUCAUGCUCUCGGUAUUAAUCAGUUCUUUAAGUGACAUGCAGCACCACCUUCCCCAAGUGAUCCUGCAGUGAAGAAAGUUGCAGACAAACUUGCGAGUUUUGUGGCAAAAAAUGGAAGACAAUUUGAAGAUGUUACUCGUCAAAGAAAUCCUGGAGAUACCCCUUUUAAGUAUGUUUUGUCUUGCCAAGUUAUUUUUAAUUAUCACAUGCUUUCUUGAUUUCUACCUGUCACAGUAGGUUCCUACUUGCCUGGGUAAUUUUUGAAAUGCAUAAGAACCUGUGUCUCCCUUGUUUCGAACUGGUGGACCAUCAGUAUCCACAAGUUCAUUUCAUAAAAGUUUUCUGAUGUUUUCCAGCUUCUUCACAUGUGAUUAUUACUAUAUGCAACUUGUCACUCUUGCCCCUGCUCUCUCUCUCUCUCUAUAUCAACUCUUGGUUCUAAACAUUUGUGUAAGCUUGGGAUACAUAAUUUUUUGCCUGAAGUCUCCAUAUUUUAGCAUUUUUUCGUUAAAAAACCUUUUUGGCUUGGGAAGGAGGGCUGUCCUUUUAUGAUUAUGAGAGGGAAUGAGAACUGUAUUAGGACUUUGGGAGAUUGAAAGUGAAAAUUUUAAUGUUAUUUAAUGUGGAGACUCUGUAAAAUGUUAAUUAAUCUGGAAUGUUAGCAUGUUGUGUUUCAAUUGCUGGUUUCAAUUUUCACAUGAAAAUUCUGUACCAAAGCUGCUUGAUUUUCAUUCUCUUUUUUUCUUUUUUGUUUUUUGGGAGGUGAACUUAAGUGGAAGUUUCUAUAUGGUCAUAUAGAUUUGUAGUUCCUCUUAGACCCAAUGCCAUAUAAUUUCUGUCUUUUGAUUGAUAGUUUUUGUACCUUAAAAAAGGAUAUGGGCAUUACAAUUCCCAUUGACAUUAGGGUUUUUGUUGGUUUUUCCCUAUGAAACUUCUAUUGUGUUAUCUUAAUUAUAUAUAUUUGGUGUUUGUUCUUAUUUACAGAUUUUUAUUCGAUGAGGGAUGCGCAGAUUACAAAUACUAUGAAUAUCGGCUUGCUGAAGAGGAAAAGACUCUUUCACAGACUAGGGAUUCCCAGACAUCACAGAGUGGUGGUACUUCCAUCUCUUCAUUUUAUGUUACCCUAGUCUGAAACUACUUUUUGGUGAUACUCAUCCAUGUGAGUUUCAAAUAUUGAUUUGGAGGGGAAAUAACCACAACCAUUUUUGUGAACAUUAAUGUUUGUUCUGUAUGUAUCACACCAGCAGAAAUAAGUGUUGAGAAAAGUGAGAUAGAUGCUAAAACAUACAUCUUAGAUCAAAAUAGUUUUGAGAUGCCAUGCACCCUAAUCAAAAUGACUCUACAAUGGUCAUAUGUUAAAUAGUGAGCUGGAGGACACUAUCAAUAUCUGAAAAUUAAAGUGUAAAGUGAAGCGAUAAUUUACUAAUUGUAUUUGAAUUUUAGAAGUUGUUAAUUACUAUGGGAUGGUUCCUGGAAUUGUAUAUGAGGUUUUAAUUGUGAUUAUCCUUCACAUGCUAUAUUGUUUUUUGUUCAAGUUUGGCAAUGGUCCUUUUUGUUUUAAUUGGAGUUUCCCUUGUUGCCCUAAUUAUUUUUUAAUUUUGAUCUUGAAUCUGCUUCUCCAGAGUUUUGUUAAUGUUUGUAACUGGUUUUACAGAUGGAUGUGUUCAUGAUGUCAUUUCUAUCUAUUUAUUUUUGAGCUCUUGAAACCAUGACAUGUUUGAAUUUACUAUUUCUGAUAAGAUUCAAAACUUUUGGAGUGUCUCACUUCCAGGCCCUCAUUUCUUGAUUUGUUGUUCACAUUUUUAGUACAGUAGCUGGUCCUGCAAAGCUAAUUGAAGAAUUAUCCUUUUUGUUUGGUUAUGAAAAAGUUGACAAUUAUUGAUGUUUUUGUUCUCUCUUGUUUCCUCUUUUCUUUACCUAUCUAAAAAAUGUUUUUGUUCUCUCUUUUCCUAUUUUUAGAAUAAAAAAGUUAUUUAUGGGCCUCUAUUGUAUAGGUGGUACAAGCACGUCAGCUCCUAAAUCAACUAGUGGUUCUCAAAGGUCAGUUCAGCAGCGAUCUAAUUAUCAAAUCCCAACCUCAGCUUUAUAUGAAGCCACUGAGGACACUAGGGCUUCGGGUAGUUCUGUUCAAGCAGCAUUGGCUGGAAGAGCUGGUUAUGGUAUGUACCGAUAUUUUCGUGUUUGUUUUCCAUUGGUGAAAGUUUGUUCUGUUGACAAUCUAGGUUGCGUAGUUAUGGUCAUGUUUUAGGUGUCUUUAUCGGUAUUGGUUGACACAUAAUUCACACAAGCCAAAAUUUUAGGAAAUCACAACGUUUGAAAAUAUUGGAAACCCCACAUUUGUGCUUGUUUUGAGACAUUUGUAGGUUCUCUUCUAGAAUCUUUGUCCUAGAGGACAUCUAAGCAAUUUUUUUCUUCUUAUUUAUUUGUUUAUUUUUACUACAUAUGUUAGGUAAUGAAGUUACCGUGGCCAAAUGGGUCCAUUAAACCAUAAUCUCAUUGGCUUAAAUUAGCAUUGAUUUAGCACUUGUUUUCCCUUGAUCUAUUUUAUUUCUCUUUUGCUUUUUAUUUUUAUUUUUACCUUUAUUUAUUUAUUUUCUUUGCUUGGUGUGGGUGGGGGGUUGGGGAAGGGUUGAGAACUGAAUUUCAGAAGCCUUAAAGUGUGUCUCUUGAAAUUAAGAGAAAUGAAUUUGGAAAAAAUGACUUUGCUUCUUUCCUCCUUAUAAGGGACUCCUUUCUGUUUGUUUUAGAGCCAAGAGUUCAUAGACAUUUCUUAAAAUAGAUAAUUUAAGUUGUGGCUUUCUUUUGACCUUAUAUCAUCACAUAGACUUGUUAUAUUUGUAAUUUUGUCUAUAAUAUCUUACAGGUGUUAUAUUUCCAUAUUUUGCAUGUCAGUAAUCAUAAUAAUAUUUCAAUUAAAUGAUGGAUAUACUUUCAGUCACUUGGCACUUGGUUGUGUAUAUUGUUAUUAUGUAUGCUUCUGCUUGUAGGUGAAUCUAGUGCACCAACAGGUGCAGAUCCUAUAGCAAUGAUGGAGUUUUACAUGAAGAAAGCGGCGCAGGAAGAGAGGAGGAGGCAGCCUAAGCAGUCAAAAGAUGAAAUGCCUCCGCCUGCUUCUCUUCAAAGUUUGUAUCUGUUCGUUAAAUUAUAUGUCCCCUUGGGAUACUAGAAACAUUUUUUUUUUUGCCUUUACCAGGCCCAAAACAUAAACAAUUUAACUCUUCAACCUGCCCUUGUAUGGCAUAUUUUCUCAAAUUUUUGGCUCCAGCUCCUGGGAAGAAAGGUCAUCACAUGGGUGACUAUAUCCCUCAAGAAGAGCUUGAAAAGUUCUUGUCUACCUGCAAUGAUGCGGCUGCGCAGAAAGCUGCUAGAGAGGCUGCAGAAAGGGCAAAAAUCCAGGCUGACAAUGUUGGGCAUAAACUCCUGUCUAAAAUGGGUUGGAAAGAAGGUUCUACACCCUCUCCACUCUCUCUCUCUCUCUCUCUCACUCGAUUGCUCGUACAAAUAUGAUUCCUGUUGUUUGGGAAAUUGUGAUUGACCUUUUAGUUGGUUGAUAAUAUAUAGAUAUUUGAAUAUGCUGCUAGUUUGUCAUUUCUGGUUUGUCAUUUCUGGAUUGCAGGUGAGGGUUUGGGGAGCUCUAGAAAUGGUAUUGCAGAUCCAAUCAUGGCUGGAAAUGUGAAGUUGGACAACUUGGGGGUUGGUGCUCAACAGCCUGGUGAGGUAACUGCUGAUGAUGACAUAUAUGAACAGUACAAGAAGCGGAUGAUGCUUGGUUAUCGUUACAGACCAAACCCUCUGGUAUAACCUAUACUCCAUGACCUUUUCUCCAUCCAUCUGUUUUUGUUGUUGUGGCGAUUUAUCAACUAAAUUUUGAUAUUUGGAAGCCUGAGCUUGUGUUUGUUUAGUUAAUAAAGGUUACCUAUAUUUGCUUUUUUAUAAAUUUUAAUCUUGCUUUCUUGGUCUCUUUUACAGAACAAUCCCCGAAAGGCAUACUACUGAGGAACUUUCUUUUGUAAGCAAUUUACUUCUCAGGAUUGAACUAAAGAAAUAAGUUGAAGUGAAACUACUCGUUAUAUAUGGGAAAAAGGAAAAAUGGAUUGGUAUCGCAUGAAUGAGUGGAGCAAGUUUAUCUGGAGCUUUUGUUUUUGUUGUUUUUUUUUCCUUUUUCUUUUUUAAUGUGAAUUCAGUGUUUAUUAGCAAAUUAUUUAGAGGACUGUCUUUUAAGGGUACCUUUCCUUUUUUUGGUAAUCUUGUUCCUUGUGUGAUUGGAAUUUCAUUGUACCUGCUUGAUUAGUAUAUUUUUUUAAGUUAGUCAGAUCUCAUAAUAAAAAAACAUGUACUUUGAAAUUGUGGAAGUUGUUUCCAAUAGUAAGGGUAUGAAGCAAAAAGCCUAAAAUGUUAAAAAAAAAAAAAAAAAAAAAAAAUAUUUCUCAUGUCUGAGCACAUGGCCUAGAAAAUCAUAGUCCAUACAUUGGGCUUUCCUGGUGCAUGCACUGCUUCACACCUUAUUCUACUACCUUUGGACCCAACUAACUCCAUUGAAUCUGGUCUCUCAAAUUGACAUCAACGAGGAAGUUCCAGGAUUAGAUGCAAUUAGGGCAGCACAGACCUUUUAAUAAACAUACUGAUAAAACUAGACAUGGUCAUGGAUUUUUGGUCUAAAGGUGUCUAGGCCUUUCUUCUUUAGGUUUGUGAAGUGGCUAGGAACUGGAUAUGGCAGAAUUGAUGUUAGUGGGUACCUUUCUCUUGGAAUGGGUUAAGCUUUACAUAGACCAUCAAUCAGUGUCUGUGAGAGGCUUUGUAGAUUGUUUGUGCUUGGAAGUUCAGAGAGGGAGGUUGUUUUUUGUUUUUUCUUUCCUUGUUUUGCCUUUUGGCACAUGUUGUAUAAGUUGUGUGUACUUUGUUGUGCUCCUUUUAAGGCACUAUUAAUAUAUUCUCUUUUAUUGCCUGUCAAUAAAAAAAAAAAGUAUUUGUGCUUUAUUUAUAUCUUUGCAUCCUCCAUAAUGUACAAAGGGAUCCCCCAUCACAUGCAGCCUGCGUUCUCAUUUAUGGUCUACAGACUAAAUCAAGCCAAGUUUGGGAACUCUGUCAGUCUGGUGAAGAAACCCUGUUACAGAUUUGAUUAGAUGAGGUUUGCUAGAGGACCUGAUGAGCCAAAUUAGUUUUCUUUGCUCCAAUAGUUAAUAAUAUAUGUAGUUAUUGGAGCUCACAGGAUUUAUCACAGACGAUGGUGCAACUGGAUUUACCUAAUUGGGAAAAUUCUUAAAAAAGAGUGGUGUGAGAGAGCAAACUUAUUAUUAUUUUUGAUAGUUAAAAUAAGCAAAUAUAUUAAAAGCUCGGGAAGGGCAUGCAAAGUAUGUGUGUGAAUGAAGUUAAUGAGGUUAAGUACAUUAGGAUGCAAGCUUUUCUGUUGAUUAAUUUACUAGGCUAGCUUUGUGCAUAUUUCUCAGUAUACAUCACGAUUAUUUAGUUACAUUUACUCCCAUAAGUGGAGAAUCAAGUAGGUAACCUUCAAGCUGACCCAGUUAGUGUGGAAUUGGAUCUGAUUAUUUUAUUUAGUCUGGUCACCAGAAGCAGAAGCUGAGUCAUAAUUGUAAUGUUCCUAAUAACUUCUAUGACUUGGGCAGGUAAGGCUCUCCAUUUCUUUUGAUUCUAUCUUCUUUGUGACAUUGCUUAUUCAAUUCUAAGGCCCCAUACCUGUUCUGUCGUGCUACACUCAAUUAUAACAACUGAUAGGAAUAGAAUUGGAUGUCAGCCACCUAAAGGCCUGACCUUGAUCUUCUAUUUGGUGUUAUUUUAAAAAUUAGAUCCUGAAAAUCAUAUUUGAUAACCUUCCUUGCUGUUAUGCUUGCAGUGCAGAAUGUAGAUAGCAUGUAGAUUGUGAUUCUAAAUUCUAGUAUAAUGAUAAAAAUGCUUUCCUGGCAUUUUUUUAUAUUCCCUGGCAUCACACCCUACCUGAACAUCUAGACGUGUCCAAGGGCACAUAGCUGUGGUCCCAAGUAGUUCACUUCACUAAUUCGAGCCGAAUUAGGUGCAGAAAAUGGCCCUAGUAAAUGCCUCCACUUAUGAGUUCUUUUGACAAUACGCACUUUAUCUUCUCAGCUUCAAUAUUCCGAGUUUCCUUCUAUGGUAGCUAAAGAAAGGAAAGAUUGGUAUUCAACCUGUGAAUUCUUAUCACAAUACUGACAAAACAAGAAUCUAAGUACUGGAUGCUACCCUUACCAAAUUCCAUAUCCAAAGAAACAGUCUCCCAUAGGAGAGUGAUUCUUCUCAUAGGGGAACUCUUGUGCCUUCAAGACACACACUUCACCUUUUCUUUUACAAGGAACUAUUAGUUAUGCUUAAAAGUCAAGUUUUCAGGAAACCAUCGAACCAAAUACGCCUUUACGUGUCCUUGUUUCCCUCCACAGAAACAGCUCAACUUUAUUAGACUUUGAAUGUGAAAGCUGUCUUUUUAUGACUCACUUGUCUUUUACCUUUUGUUGCAAGUGAAGAUUCCUAGAGCAUGGAUAUUAUCCUAUCAAAUGUUUGUGUAAUUUGCAGAAAGCUCUCAUUCUUUCAUCCUUUUUUUCUCUAGUUUAAGAGUCUGUUUGGUUGGGAUAACUUUUAACUCCUGUGUUUAGCAGUAGAAGAAGUGGAAGCAAGAGUUUAACUUUGUAUAAACACCCUUAAAACAUGUGUUUAACUUUCAAUGCUAUAGACGUUAAUGUUUAGGUAAGAUUCAAGUUCUUUUCAUGGGGCUUGAGUACCCUAACAGUAUUGAUUAAUUGAGAACCAAAACAGGAUCUAGCAUCUAGUAUUUUGUGUGAAUAUAGGAUAGGAUGCAUCAUACAUUGAGAAGGAUGUAACAUUAAAAGUUACAACUUACAAGUAGGUUGGACAAUAGCUUUUAUAGAGUGGCAUCGAUGCAUAUAACAUGGAAUAAACUUAAAAGCUUCUUCCUUCUCUGAGAACAGAGGGAAAAAAUUCCCAAUACUGAAAACUAUGCUUUCCUGUAUGUGGGGGUUCUGGGAAUGGUACAUGGUAUAUAUCUAACUUGUCAAUGGGAAUAUCAUUCAUCUUUGAUUCUAGUCUGCUUACUCAUUAGAAAGUUGUUUGUUUAAAAAUAAGGAGGAAGAAAAGAAUAUCUUUUUGAUGAAAUUUAGUAGCACCAAUAUUUAGGCAUUUAUUUUAGCUGGUGGUAAAGCAAACCUCGGGUGAUAUGGACUCAUCCUUCUAUGAAGUAUCUGUCACUUUUAUCUUGCAUAACCUAUACAUUAGAAUCACGGAUCUGUCCUUUUUAUCUUACGUCACUGCAUGCAUAAAAAUUGGGCCUUUUUUAUUCAUUGUGAGGGAUCACUUGGCUGGGCGAACAGCCUAACACCACCCUUUUUCAAGGUCAGGGCAUUUUGAUUUGGACGAAGAGUUGUCCCACUCCCAUCCACUAGGGCGAAUUCCCAUAGGAGUGCCUCAGCUGGACUUUUAGCUGUACUAGCACAAGAAAUUAUAUAGAAAAUCACUGAACCAGAUGAAAUUUGAGAGGGGCUUUUUGUUGAAUUAAGCUUGGUGAAUUGAUAUUCAUAGAUUUGUAUGAUUAAGAAAAAUUCUAUGGACCGUCUUAUUAUUGUACUAAACAUUUAAUCUGGGUUUUCAAUUAAAUCUAUUUUAUAAUAUGUAUGCCCAUAAUUGUAAGUUUAUUACUUAAUGUACAGAAGAUUCAAGAUGCCCAGAGAGAGGAGCAUGUCCAGUCAAGCUCUUAUCUAAGUAAACAGUUAUCAUAGGAUCCGAGGAGCAUGUCCACUCAAGCUCUAUCUAAUUAAAAAAGUUAAUCAUAGGAUUCGAGGACCAUGUCCACUCAAGCUCUAUAUAAUUAAACAGUUAUCAUAGGAUUCCAAAAACAAAUGCUACCCAACAGCCCCUACUUUUUUGGACAGUCCUUAUAAAAUAGGGCACUCAAGCCCCAUAAAUUUACCCAAUAAUUGAGGGGAGUGUCCUCUUCAUAAAGAUUUUGUGCCCUAGUUAGUGGCCAAAACAUGUCCUCAUCUAUUACCACACACACACAAAAAAUAAAAAAGAAAAAGAAAAAGAACAUAAAAGAAAAGAAAAAAAAAUGCUUGAAAGAUAUGAGAACAAUUGGGUUAUUCUAUCUUGAUCUAGACAAUAGAUUCCUUGAGCUACAAAUUUGGCUUUUUUUCCACACAAAAAAAGAGAAAGAAUAAAGCUCUUAUUGGAUUCUAUAAUCUUAAUGUGUGUGUGGGGAGAGAUUCCCAUUAGCACAAUAAUUCUAUUUUCUUAAGCAUUGAGAGGAUUAUUAUUGAGGGAACAAGUUUGUGGGGAAUGUGCCCCAAUAAUUAGGGCACAAAAGACCAAGCAUUAGGUGGGUGUUACCUGUUGGUGGGUACCCAAACACAUUCAACUACCUUCUAAAAGGCAAGUUCUUGGUUGGAGGGCACUUUUAAAAUUUGCUUUUUGGAUGGUUGUGGGCUUGGCUCUCUUCACUGAGACAACUUCCUAGUGUUAUUUUAUGCUAUUUUAUUAAUGCUUUUUAUUACAAUAUGUUAUUCCUAAUUUUUAUGUUUCUAUCAUAAUCAAGCUUAAACUUUAUCUAGGUCCCAUUUUUAGCUAGAAAUUUGAAUUGAAGUGCAAGUUAUAAUUUUUAAAACACAAAUUUUGUAUUAAAGAUUUUUAUCGAAUAUAAAAUAUUUUCUUGCAUAAAUCUAAGUAAGGAAUAAUAUUUUCUUGAUUUUUCAUUAAUUUUUGUAAUUAUUAGUUUUUUAACAAGUAUAUAAACUGUUAUUAAGGUUUUUAAAAAACUUUUGAUUUAUCAGAAGUCAAUAUCUAAGUAUACAAAUAUCACUCGUGUGUGGAUCACUUAAAUGUUAUAAAAUGUUUUAACUUAUUUUCACUCAAUAUCAACCAAUUUUUAGACGAAAUGGUCAAAAUUCGAUUUAUAACUGGUAUGGGAGUAAAAAGUUAAGACUUUCUUUUAUGAGAACCCUAUUUUGGGAUAGGGAUAGGUGUGAUAUCAACCCUAGAUGUAUAUAUAUAUAUAUAUAUAUUUUUAAAUUUACACCUUUUAAUAAAAGAUCAUAUAAAGGAAUAAUUUCCUUUUAGUUUCAUAUCUUCUUUAAGAAAUGCUUAUUAAAAGUUCAAUUACAUUGCCUAAACUUUAGUUUUAAUUUGAUAAUACAUUUUAUCUUCUCUUUUUAAUUAUAAAAAAAAAAAUUAAAAAACUAUUACGUUAUGUUAGAGUUCGAUGAUGUGAAUUCUAUUUGGUUUAACCCAAAAAGCUCAUGAUGUGAUAUAUGUGGUGAAACUAUAAUAUGAUAUAUAUUUAUACAGUUAUGAUGAUUAUAUUUCUAUUAUAACUAUUUACAACUCUUCCAUUUUAUACUAAUUUUUUUAUAUAGUGGAUGUCAUUAUCUUAUAUCCGGAAUUUUUUUUGUUUAGUUUUUCACGUAAAUCUAUAUAUUUUUAUUCUAUUUUUAAAUUUUAUUUUUUAUUACCUCUUCUCGUUAUUGUGUAACAUAUUAUUAAAUUAUUUUGGUUAGUUAUUAAGCCUCACAUGCAAUACUAUAGCCGAUUAAAUGCUUUGAAUGAAUAAAGCUUGACAAUGACAUCGAUAGUCAAGGAAUUUAUUGAUUAUUUUAAUACUCUGAUGGGAGUUGAUAGGUUUCAUAAAUUACAAUUUCCAAUCAAAUGUGGCAAACAACACUAAUAAAAUUUUGUGAUUAAGUUUAUAAUUAGGAAAAAUCUAAAUUAUUCAAUCGACACUUACCGAAUAUUAAAUACGAGUCAUUCAAAGUGUAUAGUAAAAUGCGAACCUUCAUUUUAUAAACAUAUGAAAUUUGAGUUUUUAUAAACAUAUGAAAUUUGAGUAGUGUAAAAUAUAUAUAUAUAUAUAUAUAUAUAUAUAUAUAUAUAUAUAUAUAUAUAUAUAUAUAUUAUGAUGUAAAAUAAUGAAACCAAGAUAUAAAUAAAUUAGACUAAAAUAUAAAAUAAUAGGAUUUGAAUUGUACCAAACCAAUCAAGUCGUGCGUUUUCCUAUAAAAAAAAGUACUCUUCGAUAAUAUAGUCGGGUCCUUAUAAUUAUGAAAUAAAUCAUGAUUUUUUUUAGGAGAUAUUUUCCCAUCCAAGGUACGGAUUUUUAAUGACAUGAAUCACAUGAUAAUAUAAUUAAGAAUUUUAUUGGGAUUUUUUUUUUUGUUUGUGCUUUUAUUAGAGGGAAAAUAGAGGUAAAAAGUGGAAAAUGAAGGAAAAUAAAUAAUAGAUUUAAACUUAAUAAAUUCUUUUAAUAUGUUUCUUUAAACCCAUUUCACUUAUUUUCCUAGAUUAUAUAAAAAUUAAAUAAUUUUAAAAUAUAUAAAAUUUUAACUAAUUUUAAUUAUAUUUGAUUUUUUUUUUGUAUUUUUCAUAAUGAAAUUAAAAUAUAAAAAAAUAGUUUUCCUUAACAUUUUUUUUAGUACUUUUUGGGAAUCAAACAAAACUUUAAAGAAAUAAGGAAGAAAUGUGAAAAACUUUUUGUAUCGAAAACUAUUCAAAAGAAAAAAAAACUUGAAAUAUACUUAGUUAAGAGUAGAUUUGUUAUUAUCUUGAUAUUGUACUUCUUUGAUUUGUUUUGUGUUUUGUGUUAAACGAUCGACGGAGAGAUCAAAUAUGAAUGUGAGAGAUCAAAUAAUUUAGAAUUAAAAGAAAGACAAGUAUGAUAUUAUCAAAGUUUUAUUAAAGUCUAGAACUUUUGCAUAUAAAAUACGUCUUUUAUAAAAAAUUACCUUAUCAUUGCUUUCAUAUUAAAAGUCAUAAACAUUUUAAUCAAAACUUCCCAACCAUUUCAUAUUUGAUGUAAAAAUAAGCUUUUGGCUUUUCAAAUGUCAAUUCAAAUUUAAGCGACAAUACAAGUCUUUAUGAUUUGUAUCAGUCUUGAUUGUUAUAUCAAGAUUCACUCACGCGCAAUGAUAUUAGUUUAAAAAUCUUAUAAUUAAUAUCACGAGCUCAUGCAUGAGUCAAAUCUUAUAAAUGAGAGACGUCUAAUCAAAUAUUGAGGAUCGGUUAUAUUCACAUGAUCUUAUAGGAGUUAAACCUAAUUAAUGAUAAUAUCUCAUCAAACACAACUUGUAUUUUAAAUAUAUGAAUUUGAAAAGUUGUAAUCAAAUUCCUUUAAAUGAUUGUACAACAUAGUAUGAACAAAAAACUUUUAGAACUCUUGGUAGGUAUGAUAUUGAAGGUAUUAAUGUGAUCAAAAUAUGAAAAAUAAAAAUAAAAUUGACUUAGUCAUAUUCUUUUAACAUCCCAUGCAUUAAAUAUAAAGAAUAAAUAAAAGUAAAAAAUAAAAUAAAAAAUCAUACCAUAAUUUUUAUUAAAAAUAAUUUGUAUUAUAAUGAGUGUACAAAAAGAAGUUGGUUGAGAGAAGUUAUAUAGAGCUUGUAGAAAAGGAAAAUGAUAUACUUAGAAAAAGGAGUCAAAGCAUUUCAAUGGCCCAUCCAUUUUUCUUAUGUCUUAUCCAGUGAACUGUGGUUCUUGUACAAGAAAUUGAUUCCCCAAUGGAAGAGACAACAAAAAGAUGGCUGUCAAGAAAGUGAUUUGUUGCCUAAGGGACAGGGCACUUUGAAAAUGAUAUGUGGGUUUUUGAGAAACCAUGCUCUUAGACCCAUGGUUUUUUUUGGAGUUGUUUCUUUUUUUUCCAAGUUCAAAGAACAUGGCUCAAUUGACUUGGGUUCAUCUUGGAUUUGAGAAAAACAAUUGAAAUUCUUUAAAAUAAUUUAAAAAAAUUAUUAAUUGUGUGGCUUAUAUUUUUUUGUCAUUAUUUUAAUUAAAUUAGCUUGAUGUGGGCAUGAAUGUUUUGACUUUGAUGACUUUUUAGAUGAAAGAUUAGUUUCACACUCAUCUCAAAAUAACCUACUUUCUUCUUUUAUUGACUUUAUUUUUUAUGAUUUUGAAAUUAUUAUUAUUAUUAUUAUUAUUAUUAUUAUGAGAAAUAUACUGAUAAAAUUAUUAAUUGUGUCGAAUUUCUUUCACAUUAAUUUAAAUAGACACAAAAAUUUAAACAGUUUGACAUUGACACAUAUACUUCUUAAUCUUUCACAUAUGAAAGAUUAGGGGUGUAUUUGUUUGACAAAUUUAUAUAUUUUUUCUUUGUUAGGUGAAAUUCAUUGAAGACGACUUUUUUUUUAUAUUUUUAUUUUUAUUUUUAAAUGAAAAUGAUAUUCUCAUCUAAUCAACCAUCUAUAUUAUUUUUAUAGUGAGAUAUUCUAAAAAGUUAACAAUAUUUGUAAAAUAAGAUGAUUUAGGGUUUACUUACCCUAAAUAUUUUGUAAAAUAUUUUCUUUGAAGAUAAGAGUUGACUUUUGUGCCAAAGUCAAAUAAUGGAAUGGUUUAGGUGGAUUAAUAUUAUAAAAGAUUAAUAAAGCAUCAUACCAUAGGCGUGGGGUUUACUUUAUGUAUUAAGCUUAAAAGUAACAUACAAUGCUUUCAUGAUUAGCUGCCAUUGAUUAGCUUAAUAUGUGUGAAUUAUUAGACUUUUUUCAUUUUUUAUUUUUUCAUAGCUAAGAUUAUUUGUUUGGCUUGAUUAAGAAUCCUAGAUUUAAUAUUUAAAAAAAAAAAAAUUAAACACAUUAAUUAUUUAUAUUUUUAACAUUUUUAAUUGAAUCAUUUGGAGUCACAUUCUCUUAAUAAAAGUUUCUAAUGUCAUUGACUUGGGUUGAGUCGAAUUGAAUUAUUAGAAUUCAUUUAACAAUGAUUUUAGUAAGCGUUUUUAACUUAAAAAGUGCUUUUGAAAAAAAUUAGGUGUUUGACAAAAUUUAGGAAAUACUUUUAAAAUUUUGAAAAAUCACUUAUAGGGUUUUCUAGAGAAACACUUAUAGAGAAAACACUUUUACUAAAAAUGCUUUAAGUAGAACUACUGCCAAUCACAUUCUUAAUUAAUACAUUAAAAUAAAUACAAAUACAAAAGGUAAAGUAAGAAAAUAAUAGUUAAAAUUUUGUUGUAGACUUAUUGUCAAAGAAAAUUGAUUUUUGAACAAUAAUUUAAAUAAUUUUUGAUCAUUUAUUUAAUUUUUUUUUAGAAGUAAUUAAAAUGAGUUAGGUUGUACUUAUCUAUAUUUUGAAUAAUAAAAUUAACAUUUUGUAAUUUUAAUUGAGAAAUUAAUGAUAGUUCAACAUUCAAUUUAGAACAAAAUCGUGAAAACCAAUGAGUAUUCGAGUAUGAACACCUUUUUCAAAAUCAAGUUUUGUUUAAUUCAUGAGUUAUAAUCAUAUCUUUAGAAAUGGAUUUAUGGAAUGUAAGGUUAUGUUUGUUCUCGAAAAAUUCUAAGAAAUGAAAAAAAUAUUAAGGAAAAUGGUUUUUUCAUAUUUGGUGUUGAUAUGAAAAAUACAAAAGAAAAUUAAAUAUAAUUAAAAUUUUAUGUAUUUUAAAAUUAUUUAUAUAUUGUUAUAAUGGAAAUAAAUAAGUGAAAUGAGUUUGAAGAAACAUAUAAAAAUAAUUUAUUAAAUUUAAAUUUAUUUUUUAUUUUUCUUAUACUUUUCCUUUCCAAGUUUUUUUUUUUUUUUUUGCAUUUUCUUUCAAAUUUUUCAAUAACCAAACAUAGCCUAAGGAAAUGGAAGAUAUUCAUUUUAAUAUUUAAAUAAUCUUAUGGAAUAUGAUGGAUGUGAGAUUUUUAUUUUAACUUUUGGUUGGAGUGAAAAUUUCAAAUUUUGAUUAUUUUUUAUUUAUUAUUUUAACAUUUAGUUGUUGUAUAAAUUGUCUUAUAAUUAAUACAAAUUUAAAAAUGAUCCUUUAAAUUAUAUUUAUAAAUAAAGAAAACAACAUUAAUAGAUUGUCCUUUUUUAAAUUAUGCCCUAAUAAUGCUACAACAAAUAUUAAAACUAAAAUGAGUAAGAGUUUAAUUUCCUUUAUUUUAGGAACUAUUUCACACUAAGUAAUUUAGAUUUAAAAAACUGUGGUUCCCAAACAAGCUAAUGUCCAAAGUAGAACUACAUUAAACAAAGAUGCCCUAACUAGUAUGCAAAAAUCAUAAUUAACCAUUCUACUAGAUAAUCUAGUAUCCUUAUGCAUGAAGAUAAUCAAUUCGGUCAUUAUGGUCGAGUUCUAUUAUGGAUUUCUGACCACAUUCUUCAUAGGGCCCUCUUAUCUCUUCCUUCUUCGAGCUCAGGUUAUAGAAUAAGGAGAAGAAGGAAUCGAGAAGAAGGUAUCAAUAAUAACUGGUUUUAUUACGGGACAACUUAUGAUGUUUAUAUCGAUCUAUUAUGCGCCUCUGCAUCUAGCAUUAGGUAGACCUCAUAUAAUAACCAUCCUAACUCUACCGUAUCUUUAGGUUCAUUUCUUUUGAAACAAUCAACCUCAUAUAAUAACUGUCCUAACUCUGCCGUAUCUUUUGGUUCAUUUCUUUUUAAACAAUCACGAACACUCUCUAUCUAUUCCAAUCGAUUAGAAGUAGAUUACAAUAAAGAAAGAAUCAUUAUCUUAUCAAUAGAAAGCAACAUUACAACAUUGAAAGUAGAAAAAUGAGUAUCAUAUUUAUGUACUAAAGAACUGAUAUGAGAAAGAAAUAGUGAAAUUGUUGUUUACCAUUAAAUGUCAUUUAUAAAUCGGAAUAACCAACAAAUCAACAAAGAGUUACAAGUUGAAUUCCAUAGUAAAAAAUAGUACAUGUGAUGAUAAUUGUAAUGAUAUGAUCGUACUAACUAAAUAUAUUUUCAUGUCAAAAAAGUUUUCUUAACCCACUUGAGCAUGACAAAACAAGAUAUAUGAAAUAGACGAUACUUUUAUAAUGAACCAGUCUUUUUACUAAGUAUUUAAUUGACAUUUCAAUUGAAAACCAUGUUUAUAUGUACACAUAAGGCUAUUAUACAAAAUAUAGAUACCCUAAAUCAAACGCUAAUUCAUCAUGACUAUGUUAAUGAAUAUUGUUGGAGAUUACAGUCUAAUAGUAGCAUGUAUAUUAAAAUGUAGGUGGGGAAGUAAUGGUAGGAUACUAUUUAUUAAUAAGUGCUAUUUAUGAAUCAUAAUAACUUUUAAAAGCAAAUAUAAAUCAUGAUUAGUUGAACUUCAUUGACAAAAACAUAA
rnacentral:lncRNA from 1 species